rnacentral:lncRNA from 1 species
UCAGGAGAAAAUUCAAAUUCAAAUUCUAAAUGAGGGAAACUUCAUUAGAAAGUCAACAUUACAUUUACAUUUCCAAAAUAUUAUUACAAGUUAACAUUCCAUACAAGAACAACAUUACUAUAAGAGUACAUGAAAAAAUCUAUAUUUGAUCUACAAAUGACUUUUGGUCAACUGUUGACUUUUGGUCAAUUGUUGACUUUUGGUCGAACAGUUGACCAAGUAGUUGACCAAAGUUUGACCUAACCCUGAUUUAACUCUAGACCUAUUUCUAACCUAAUCUCCAAGUCUUCUUCAUCUUCAUCCAUCACCUUGACCAUAUUGCCUCCAUGACCAAAAUUUCAUAGAGUGCCAUGCUUGUAUCACCAAGACUUCAUAAUGCACCAGCCAUCCAAACCUGCACCAGACCUGCAACAUCAAAGUCAAAUCCAUCUCAACCAUGUUCUCAAUGUAGUAUACAUCUCAAUGCAUCUAAGACACAUGACAAAUACAAGUUAAAUGCAAGUAUCAAGAGCUAGAUACAAGCAUUUGUCAUCCAAACAUGUAUAAAACACAACACCAAUUGAAACUUCAAAACAUAAUUUCAAGAAGACAAAUUCAACAUACCACAAUUUUUUGACACAUAAGUCAUAGUGUAGCCCAAACAUGAUUCACAUACACACUUCAGUACAACAACAUUCAUCAUUCCAUACCAUGAGUCAAAACAAUCCAAAACCAUGGUUAACCACAUAAUCACCAUCAACAAACCAAUGUAAUGCAUCUGCCAUGAUUGUGAAAUUCAUAAUAGUUAUUCAAUGCAAUGCAAAUCAUGUUCAGUUUCAAUCAUCCAAAUACACAUUAUCCAACCCGAGCCUAGCACUUAAUCAAAGACUUCAGUCAUGCUAUGCAAUGCAACUACACAUACAUCAUCACACAUACAAAGCAUUCAUCAAGCUCUAAAUCAAAAUUCAGCAUAAUGAUGUCCAUACAAUUCAAUCUACAUUUAGUCAAACAUAACACUAUUAAUCCAUCAUUACAACUCUCAAACAUGAUCCAAAUGCAUAAACAAAACACCAAUUAUGCUAUGCAACUCAAGGUCAUCAUUCGUUACAAUUGUCAUAACUAAUUUAUAAACCAUUAAAAAACCCCUAAUUUAACCAAUCUAACUACCUUUACAUCUAAUUAACAAACUCUUAACCAACAUAAUUACCUUCCCUAAUCAAUUGCCCCAAAGAUAACCAAUUUCCAAAGUUUGUUAUCACAUUUUCCCUCCAAAUAAUUAACUUCAAAAACCAACUAUAUCCAUCUAACAAACUUGAAAAAAAAACCCUCAACUAACUGCCUAACAAACCUGCCACGUGUCCUAGUGAAAUACCCAAAAUUCCCUUGAGCUAGAAAUCCCUCCAAAUUUCAAAUAACUAACUUUCAAAGGCCAAACUAACACAUUCCUACUUCAUUUUUUCAACUAAAAUUAGCACAAAAGAAACACAUUCCUCUCAACUUUCUCACACCCGAACUGACAUACAAUCUAACUUCUCAUCAUCUAUUCUCCACCCUUGAUUAGUUCAAUCCUAGGAUCACUAUACAAAGACUAGAAUUCAAUCUCACUCAAUCCUUAACAGAAUCAGAUAACUUUCCCUAUAAUUUCCUCGACAAUCAUCUAUAUAAACCUAACUUUCACCGUCAUCAUAGGGAUACAAAAAUUACCCUAACAAUACUCUGUUGAAUUCUUCCCUUAACUCACCAUCACCAAAGCUCUCAAAUUCCUCAAUUGCAAGAGCUUUAACACUUACAACUCUUAGCAAUCGAGCUAAAUCUGCAUACACCAAUCUCUUCCAUAACUGAUUUAAUCUUUGUGCUCACUCAUCUAUGCAAAUUCAUGUUUCUAACCUAAUAUCCACACUCUCAUCACUCUUUUAUUCUAUCCUAAUACAUCAACAAUAAUAACAAGCUCACACAAUAAUUUGAAACUAAACCAAGAGAAUCAAAAAUAAGGGGAAGAAAAAGAAGAUUGAGUUUACAAGAACUUACAUAAGCAUUAGAGCCUCCUCUCUGGUCUUUUAUCAUUAUCACCAGCUAAUCGUGUUGCUCUGACCAAGGCACUUCUCAUCCUUGUAGGCAAACAUUGAAACCUCCCUCUUCCAUCUUCUUGGCUUCACUUUUGUUACCAAGUGGUUGAGAGGACUUGUGUGAAUGAAACACCCAUGGUUGCAGCUUGAGGUCAUGAGUGAAAGCCAUUUAAUUUAAGUUCCAAAUGUUCUAGGGUUAAUGUUAAGCUGAGAUUUCAAUGUGUAGGGUUAGUUUCCUGUGUGAUUGAAGCAUGGGUGUGAAUAGGAGAGGGUGGGACGAAUCUAAUGGUGGUGGUUAGGUUUGAUUCUGAGUCGUGCCGCUACCGAAGGCGAUUUUCGGCGUGGUGGCGGCGACUUCAUGUGAUCUUUGAGAGUGAAAGGAGGGAGAGACGAGUCUGAAGGUGAGUUUGCCAAAUGAGAGAGUGUUUCUCUCUUUUCCCUCUUGUUGACUCCUCUCAUGGGCCAUAGAAACUAGGGUCAUUGGCCUUUUGCUUCCACGCACCCUUUCAUCACAUGUUACACCUCCUCCCUAAUGUAAAAUAAUAACAACAAAUGAACUUGGGCCAUGCCUCCAUGGGCACAACACUGAAAUUAUCAUCCACGCCUUUUUUUUAAUUUUGGACCACUAGAAGAAUUUUGUUUCUUUGAGAAAUUAUUUUUUAAUCUUUUUUUAGCAUCAAAUUAAUACCCUAAGCACGAUUGGGAUUAGAUUAAUUAAUUUUAUAAUUAAAAUUCUUAAUUAGGAUAAGAUUAGUUUAAGGAUAGAAAUUAGAGUUUAUCUUUAACCUUGAUCUUCUCCCUUUGAUGUCAUGGUUGAAUUACUUCUUGAAGUGCUUUUUUGAUUCUUUUGGAUGAAUUGUUUGACCUAAAAACUUGCAUGAUCCCCCAUUGUCUUGAUUUAAUUAAUUGGUUAAAUUAUAUUUGGCCAAUUAAUUGAAUUAAUGACUUUAGGAUGUUAUUUAGUUAAUCCUUUUGAUUAAUUAGUUAUACGAUUAAAACCCUAGAAAAUAGAUAAAUAUUUGCAUGAUAACAUCAGGCUUCAUCCCCACUUUGGGUACCCUAAUUCCUUUAAUAAUUUGUCUUCUUCUUUGUUUAAGUAAAACUAAAGUCUCUUUUUCUUAAUAAACCAAAAGUACCUAUAAAAUACAAAUCAAAUUGUGCGCAACGAGCCUUAAGAAAUGGAAAAAAAUGAGAGGGUGUAUUCAUAUCCUUAUUUUGAAUAUCUUUGGAUACAGGACGCAUGACCCAGUUGAUCAAAAUAUUCACCUUAAUUCAUAGUGCAAUUUAAAUCAAGGCAAUUUUCAUAAUUAAAAGGAAGAAAAAGGAGGAGGAUGCAGACUUUCUCUCCCCGAAUGUUCAGACACUAUUAUAGAGCUCCCUGUCUGAAUAUUCAUCUUCAGACUAAAAAUUAAUCACAGCCAAUCAAAUUUAACUUUUUCACCUUAGGGCAUUCAAAAGCUUUUCAUAAAGGACAUGUUAUUUUUUUUUCUACCGUAAUACAAAGAACGCUGAAACCUCUCACGCGCGAGUGUACAAGAAACAUUUAACUACUAAAAUCUAGGCACUUUAUCUUAAGAUCAUCACAUAUAAAUGUUCUACAUAUUAUAUCAUAUACUUUAGUGCGGAAUAGAAUAUAUAAUACAAACAUGUAUAUAAUUACAUGAUCUACUACAUGUUAGUAUAUGAGAGAAGAGAUUUCAGGAAUACUUUGAUCUAUUGAGAAAGUUUUUCAUUGGCGGUAAUCCUGAAAGCUAGAAGACAAACAAAGAACACAUGUGGCUUGUAUGGUUCUUCCUCAACCAGUACUACUAAUGCCUUGAAUACUCUUCAGAUGGGGAGAAGAGAUAAUAUGCUUGUGUACGGUAUAUUGGGGACCAUAGCCUAUAUAUAAGGUGAUGGCCAAUUAGGGUUCCCACUAUUUCGAAAUGGAUCAUCCUGACAUCCACUCAUAUUUUAGCCCAUAUCCAAUUAAUUAAUUACUAAAUAGAAAUCUAAUUAGCCUUUGAAAUUUAUUUGACCACUUAAUCAAUUAAGUCUCUUAAUUUGAUAAAUAACUAAUAUAAUUAAAAUAUAUAUACCCACAUAAUGAUUAUUGGAAUAUAAUAAUUAAAUAAUAUUUAAAUUAUAAAAUAUUCUAACAAUCUCCUACUUGGGAAAUAUAUUUUUAAUAAUUAUAUCACAAUUAUUUAGGCGUGCAUCCGAAUGUUAUUUAUCUUUAGAUUUCAACUUUACAAUCUGAUCCACCUCAUACAUCAACAAUGGGACCACCGCAGUUGUUGUCACAUAAGUAUAAUGUAAUAAAACCCUGACGACCACCACAUCAAUAUACUUGAUGACAUAGAUCAAUAUGGAUGAGUGACAUGAACAUUUCAUGUAAUGUGAUAUACGAAUCAUGCCUAUUUCCAACUGGUCCAACUGAAUUCUUUAUUGAGAUCAAGCUGAAGUUUGCAAAUUCAAUAUUUGCACAAAUGAUGAUGAAAUGGUUAUAACAAUAAUAACCUCAUAAACUUUAUUUCUGCAUAUAAUCUUAACAUAAAGUCUAUAUCGAUAUCAAAAAAAUAUUAUAAAACAUAAAGAAUGAGUGACUCCCACUAAUUUAGGACAUCCUUAGUGACAACAAUCAUAUGAAAGAUCUUAUAUGUCAAGUCAUUGAUUAGUGAGUCUUUAGCUUAAAUUCCAUAUGUAUAUAUUCCAGUUUCAACAAUAAUAACUUAUAAGUCAAUGGUCCUUUUAAAAUCUAUUGUUGAAACACUAUAUGAUUGUCUUAUAACACAAUAUAACUUGAGUGGUAUUUCAAAUCCUUAAAUUUAAUUGCAACUGAAUGACAUGAAUACAUACCUUAAUUUAUUUUGCAUUAGAAUGUCUAUUUGACAGACAGUUAACUUAUGGGACUAUAAGGUAAGCUAAAGAGAUCACUUUAUUAACUCAUAAAUAAUUUUUGUCAAUUUGGAAACCAUAUACUUUUUGUCUAUUGACACAAAGUUUCUCACGACUGCACCAUAUUAUUUCAUUAAUAUUUUAUUAAGAAAUACAAUCUUAACAUUCAUCUAAUGUAGUUCCAAAAUAUAUAAUAAGCAAAGAGUGUCAUGAUUAAACAUACAAAGAAUUUCAAGAAAACCAAAUUGAUUUCUCUUUAUAGUAAAUCCUUUAUAACACACGGUGCCCUAGUCUUUGAAGGUGUUGAGUUUGAUCUUCAUAAAUCAAUUUAUAAACUAGCUUGAGAGAAAGAACCAUAGUAUUAUCGUGAGGAUCAAAAUUUACUAUAUUAAUAGUAAUGUAACAACCCGUAUAAUAUAUAUCUAGAAUAAUAUCAUACAAGUGUUAAUAAUUGGUACUGAUCCAACAUAAGUGCCUAAUGGCAUCAAUAUAUAUACAUGUCCAAACUAAAAACAUCAAUGGUAUCUAGAAUAAUAUCAUACAAGUGUUAAUAAUUGGUACUGAUCCAACAUAAGUGCCUAAUGGCAUCAAUAUAUAUACAUGUCCAAACUAAAAACAUCAAUGGAACAUGUUAUACAAUAAUGCCUAAAUAAUAAAAAUUUAAGAACUAUGUGCAAUAUCUUUAUUGCACACAACUCUACAGCGGAAGAUCAUGAUAAAUAGCAUCCCUUGAAACAUCCAUAACAACUUCUCUUAGAUUCAACCUGUAAGGAUUACCUGAAAAAUAACAACAAUAAUGGGAUGAGAUAAUAAUCUCAGUGAGUUCUCCUAUCCUAUGGGUCCACUCGGCUCUACAGGGUUUCUAAUCAAUAUUCAACUUAUAUCCAACUCAAGUCAACAAGGGAACGAAGACUUGAGCGAUGGGGAAGCUAUCUCGCAAUUGUAUGGCAACAUGCAUCUGAGUUCUCAUAACUCAACCACGAUCAUUAUUCAGAUCACGAAACAUCAAUUCCCGAACGGACUUACGUCUAAGCCACGCCCGGUUCAUGCAUGCUCGUAUGAUUCGACUUUCGCGGUGGAUAUCAGGUUCCCCUAUGGGACUCGAACCCACUUUUAAGAACCAUCACUCGUAUGGGACUUUACCCACUUUGAGUCUCUUUCACCGUAUGGACUCUAACCACUUAGGGUGUCCACCUUUUCCCCAUGUCCGCCAUGGUUGGGGCUCAAACCCAAUUGAGGCUCGAAUCAUUGGUCCCACAUCCCAAUGCUUACUCAUCUAAGCAUACCAAUAGAGAUGUGUACCAUCACAGAAAAACACACAUUCUGAAUACAUGAUCGGUUUCACAAAUCAUUGGUUCCACGAACCAUAAUAAAAUUCAUCAAUCACAGGUGACUGUAUGCACUACAAUACACAAAUAAUAGCUUGGCAUGUUCCAUACAAUGCAUCUCAUUCUCAAUCAUGGAAACAAUUUGUCCACGACCUCCACAUAAGCGUCGUACGAAUGAAUAUUGUAUUCUCAUACAUAUAUCACACGUGUUCCAUAACCUAGAUUAUAUUUCUAAGUUAUUAAUCAAGUUAUUCUCCUAGGUUUCCUCACUUAUCUUUGUAAGGUUUUUAAUCAAGUAAUUUCACAAUCAAACAUAUCAACAAUGUUUAACAUUCAUCAUAAUAUUAUUCAUAGAAUUUGUAAGACACAUAAUAUACUAUAACAUGGUAUGAUAAUGAUAGCCUUUUUCAUUAUCCUUCUAACGCAUCCGUCCGCGUCCAAAACGAAGUUAUAAUCCUCAAUUAAUUUAUUAAUCUAUCUUAAUCAAGAUUUAGAUUAACAUUUAUUCAUUGCAUAAGUAUUCAACAACAAAAUCAUUGGCCUAGUGGUAAGGCUUGUAUUGUUCCAAGGAGGUCCCGAGUUUGAAUUCCAUUGGUGACAUAUUUUAAUUCAUCAAAUAAUUAAUUCAUGUAAAUAGAUUGAUCAAAUGAAUGAAUCGAUUGAAUGUGAUCAGUUCAAACAGUCGAUCGAUGCCAAAGACCAAUCGAUUGGUUCCUGAAAAAUUUCACUUCAUUUUUCAUCUUUUAACUCCAUUUAUACCAUCCCUAACCAUCUUCAAUUCAUCCCAUCAACCCAACCAAUAUGAGCAUCAUGUAAACAAGGAACAACACCUUAAUCCAUCACAACAUAACAUCCAUUCAUAUGGCAACAUGAAAGAUCACAAACAACAUACAACAACAACUACAUGGCACCAAGGGGAGUAUAAACACAACAAGUUCAUCACAAGUUCUCACAAAUCCUAACCCCCAAACAUGGAUUAUUUUCCCCCAAAUGCUAAAUCUAUCUAAGAACUCACCUCAUGAUUGAUGAAGAUGGUGAGAAGAAGAUGAUGAAGAAGAUGACAUGAUGAUGGUGGUGAAUGUUUCCAUGGCUUUCUCUUCUUCUUCCUUCCUUCAUUUUCUUCUCUUCUUCCUCUUUUCCUCUUUCUCUCCUCUUCCCUUUCUUUCUUUUCUUUCUGAUAACUCUCUCCUUCUAUCUUACCUACUACCUCUCUUCUUAUCCACUUCUUCUUUUCUUUCCCACCACACAAAAUACUAUAUAAUAUAUAUAAAUAAUAUAUAGUAUUAAGUAGUAAUAUAAAAUAUCUCAAUUGAUAUUUUAUCUUCCAAUACCAAUUGACCAAUUAUCAAUGUUAUCAAAAAUGUCCUCUCUUGUAAUUAUUAAUAUUGGUCUGUCUCUUUUAUUAAUAAUUAAUAUCUUCAGACAAUUGACAACAUUUAGAGCACAUAGGAGCUCCAAUUAUUACAACUAACAAAAGAUAUAGUACAUAGGAACUCAAUUGAUCUCAACUGACAACUAAUUGAGCAUUUAAGGGAAUAUGGGAUAUUAGAAGUAACUAUAUGAAUUGGAUUAUAACAAAUUCUUCCUCAUUUAAUAUUAUUCUUUAACCAUAUCUCUCCCCCAAACUCAACAUCCUCAAAAAACUUUGAAGAUUCCCCUUCAAAUACUCUUUAACUUGUGGGAUAAACACAAUUAUAUUUCUCAAACAUUUUAACAAUUAUAUAUUUUCACAAGUCAUAACUAAAAGACUCUAAUAAUAUUUGAAUUUAGAAGAUAAAUUUAAUCAUUAUUUUAAAAUAAUAUAAAAUUGUAUUAGCAUAACAUCAUUGAGCAUAUGUCGGUUCAGAUCAUAUUUUCUUAUUAUUCUUUAUUUGUCCUUAUCCUUUGAGGUAUUUACCGAAUGAGCAUUAUUUUAUUUUCUCUUACUUCAAUCUUUUCUUUAUUGUGCACUUUAUAAAAUUAUUCUAUUAAAGAAUAAUUUAUAACUUUAAUAGUUAUAAACUUAAUUGUGCAAAGAGAAUACCAUAUGCUAGAUUUUCGACAAAAUCACCUAAUUGACGAAACUAUAGCGCAUUAGGAAGGUUAAAUAGUUUCAUAAUGCACUUUUGAUAUUUUCUUUGCUUAAUAAUCUUAAUGAAAAGUCAUUACUCUAAUGAGAGUUUGUCUCGUUAUUGCCUUAAAAAUACCUUAGAUUAAGCAAAGAAAAUGUGAAAAAAAUUGUGUCAUUUUAAAUGAUACCAAAAAUUAAGAAAUGCCAUACUUUAUGAUUAUAUGUUAGAUUUACCUUAAAAGAGAACAACAAAAUGGAAUAAAAUUUACUCACCAAAAUGCCAAAUUCACCAUUGAUAUUAAGUCUUUAGGCACUAAAAUCAAUUGUUAAUAGUAUUUAGUUUCAAUGAUCAAACACUGACAAUUAAUAUUUAUAAAUAGGGCUGGAAAUGAACCAAACCAACUCGAAAAUAGUUCGAGACUCGAUUCGAUAAUUAAUUCGUUGGACUUGGUUCAUGAACCAAAUGAGUCGAACUUGAGCUCAAAACUAAGUUCGUAAAAUAAAUGAGCUUGAAGUGUGAGCUAUGUAAGUUCGACUCGUUUAGCGUUCAUGAGUCGAACUUCGCGCCAGUAUAUAUAUAUAUAUAUAUAAUAUAUUAUAUAUAUAUAUAUAUAUAUAUAUAUAUAUAUAUAUAUAAUAUAAUAUAUAUAUAUAUAUUAUAUAUAUAUAUAAUAUAUAUAUAUAUAGAAUAUAUAUAUAUAUAUAUAUAUAUUAAAUCAUAAUCUUACAAUUAGUAUCAUUUUAAAAAAUUAAUGUAAGAUUUUAACCUUUUAACUUAUCAAAUUAAAUAUUUUAAAAAAUACUUGUGACAUUUUUUAUUUACAAAGUAAAAUACUUCUCACUCAAAAAAAAAACAUAAUGCACCGUGAAUUUUAAUUUUUAAAGUGCCAUUUUUAACUUACUCUAAAUUUGUUUUUUAAAACUACCACCACUUUAAAAAAUAACAUUUUUUAAAUAUUGUACAAGUUUAUAUGAUUAAUUUGUAUCCUUUUAUAUUAUUUGACUUUAUCUAUUAUUAUUAACUAUUUUAAGAUUGUUAAAAUAUGCCCAUUUAUUAGUAUUGCCAUUUUCCCAAAGCAAACUUUAAAAAUUGUCAAAUAAAUAAAAAAAAUUAAACUUUAAAAAAUGACUUUUUAGUCCGUGAAGUAAACAAACUGAACCUAACGAACUGAACCUAACGAGUUGAACCGAGUUGUUCAAGAACUUAAAACGAGUCGAGUUCGAGCUUAAAAAGUUCGUGUCGAACUCGAGUCGAGUUUCAAGCUAAACUAAUUCUUAUCGAGUCGAGUCGAGCUGACGACGGGUUCGACUCGACUCAUUUCCAGCCCUACUUACAUGGUAACUCUUGUUAUAUGCGAAUUCAAUCAAUGGUAAAAGCUCAUUCCAAUUCCCUCCACUUUCAAGUACACAAGCUCUUAACAUAUCUUCCAGUGUCUGUAUCGUCCGUUUAGUCUGACCAUCCGUUUGGAGAUGAUUAGACUUAAUCAAACAUAAUCUCGAUCCCAUAGCUUGUUGGAAUGCCUUCCAAAAUCUUAAGGUAAACUUUAGGUCUCUAUCGGACACAAUACUAGUUGGAACACCAUGCAACCUAACAAUUUCUGAAAUGAACAACCGUGCAAGAUGGCAUGUCUUGUAAGUAGUCUUCACGGACAAGAAGUGUGCGGACUUAGUUAACCGAUCCACAAUCACCCAAAUUGAAUCAUAACCACCUUGGGUCCGAGGUAACCCCACUGCAAAAUCCAUUGAAAUACUAUCCCAUUUCCAAACUGGAAUCUCUAAAGAUCGCAAUAAACCACCUGGCUUCUGAUGUUCGAUCUUUACCUGCUGGCAUACAAUGCAUUCUGACACAUACUCUGCAAUAUCCCUUUUCAUUCCAGGCCACCAAUAGUCCUUCUUCAAGUCUUGAUACAUCUUCGAUGAACCUGGAUGUAUAGUAAACGCCCCCUUGUGAGCUUCCUCCAAAACUUUUCUUUUCAGCUCGGCAUCAUUCGGAACACAAAUCCUUUGAUUAAGCAGAAUGACUCCAUCUGGUGACUGAGCGAAACCUGGUUGAGUCAACAUCUCUUGCAACUUCUCAUCUAUCAUUUGUCCUUGUCGAAUCUCUUCUCUUAGGUUAGAAGUAACAUUCAAAUUUCCUAUUAUCACACCAUCCAUUCUCCAACUAAACUGAAGAUUAUAAUCUCGGAACUUUUCCAACAAUGUGUAUUCUAACAUCAUCAACUCAGCUUUAUGCAUCUCUUUCCGACUUAAGGCAUCCGCAACCUUAUUCGCUUUCCCCGGGUGGUACUUAAGCUCAAAACCAAAAUCCUUCAAAUACUCCAUCCAUCUCCUCUGCCUCAUGUUUAACUCUUUCUGGUCAAACAAGUAUUUCAAACUAUUGUGAUCAUUAAACAUCUCAAAAUGCACCCAUAUAAGUAAUGUCACCACACUUUCAAUGCAAAAACAACAACAACUAGUUCAAGAUCAUGAGUCGGAUAGUUCUCUUCAUGAGGCUUCAACUGACGAGAGGCAUAGGCUACAACCUGACCACUCUGCAUUAACACCCCUCCUAAUCCUUUCUUAGAGGCAUCACAAAAUACUUCAUAAGACUUACUAGGAUCAGGGAUGAUUAAAACAGGAGCAGUUGUUAGCUUUUCCUUCACACUCAUAAAACUCUUCUCACACUUCGAAUCCCAUUUAAAAGAAAUUUCCUUCCGGGUAAGUCUAGUCAUUGGUAAUGCUAUCUGCGAAAACCCUUUUAUAAACCUUCGAUAGUAACCUGCCAAACCUAAGAAACUUCUGACUUCAGAAGCAUUCUUCGGUUUUUCCCGAUUAAUAACUUCUUCAACUUUAGAUGGGUCCACUAAUACUCCUCCUUGCGAUAUUACAUGACCAAGAAACCUCACUUUGUUCAUCCAAAAUUCACACUUACUUAACUUGGCAAAAAGUUGCUUCUCUUGCAGUACUGAUAAGACAAUCCUUAGGGGCUCUCCGUGCUCUUGGGGAGUACGAGAAUAAAUAAGAAUGUCAUCAAUAAAGAUCACCACGAAUUGGUUCAAGUAAGGGCAUUCGUUACACCAAACAGCAUUACAAGAAACUCGUAAUGGCCAUAUCGGGUUCUAAAUGCGGUCUUUGGUACAUCCGAACUCUUAACUCUUAUUUGAUGAUAGCCCGAUCGUAAAUCAAUCUUCGAGAACAUGCAGGCUCCUUUCAACUGAUCUAACAAAUCGUCUAUCCUUGGAAGAGGAUAUUUAUUCUUAAUGGUGACUUUAUUCAACUGGAGAUAAUCAAUACACAACCACAUACUACCAUCCUUAUUCUUUACUAGUAACACUGGAGCUCCCCAUGGUGAGACACUAGGUCGGAUGAAAUGCUUGGUUAACAACUCUUCCAAUUGAUUCUUCAACUCUCUCAACUCGAGUGGUGCCAUGCGAUACAGAGAAACAGAGAUUGGAGUCGUCCCAAGUAUCAGAUCAAUAGAGAAUUCCACUUCCCUUUCAGGAGGAAGAGAGGUGACAUCCUUAGGGAAAACUUCCUAAAAUUCACAAACGUAGGAAUUUGCGUAACACUCAGAUUAUCGCUAGAUUCCUUGGUAAGUACUAAGAGAACUGGAUUUUCCUUCUCAAAUAAGAACUUAACCAUACCAACCGUACCUUCCAAGAUAGUAGUUAAUACAUCCUUUGGAGUAGCUUCACUAGAUGGAAUGAUAAUCAACUUCUCUUCGCAUCCAAUAAACACCGAAUUGGCGGAAAGCCAAUCCAUCCCCAAAACCACAUCUACCUUCUUAAGUGGUAAACAAAUGAGAUCAAUCUGGAAAAUCUACCAUUCACCGAGAGCAAACAAUUUUCACAAAUCAAUGGUGUCUCAACUACAUAUUCCAUGGCGGUAGUAACCACCAUAAGAGGAGACAAGGGAAUUGCUUGCAAAGCAAGACGCUUCAUGCACUGAAUUGAUACAAAAUAGUGUAUCGCCCCAUAAUCAAACAAUACAAAACAAGGAUGAUCAUAGACGAGACACGUACCAGCAAUUAAGGCAUUGUUGCUCUUAGCCUUCAUUGCUCAUCACAUCACUAAAUUAAGACAUGUACCAGAAAUUAAGACAAAAGAGUGUGUCGCCUCACAAUCACACAAUUUUAUUGACAACUCUUUUACUUACUCAUCACAUCACCAAAAAUCGGAUGUGACACUCUUUCAAACACAACAUUCCAAAAUUUUCUAAAACAGCUUUUUUUUAAUUAAGAAAAAUGUGUAACAAUUCAUUUAUAAAUUCUUUUAAUUAAAACACUUAUAUUUUCGUAUUCCAUGACUUAUCCUCGUUUAUUCCUCUAAUUAAAAAUCAUGUAUACUCGUUGAUUUAUUUAUGUUGCUUCUCCAUUCCAUAUAUAAAGGUUAUAUACUUAUAAAAAUUGUACAUCCACACGAUACAUCAAAACUCAAAUUAUUAAAUUUUCAUUAUAUUUUCUAUUACGCACUCUAAUUUCUUUAAAAAAAAAUAAAUUAAUUAAUUUUCAAAGAAUUCGAAAAACACUAUGAGAGUUUAUUUAAUUCUUACAAAAAUAAAAUUAUUCAAUUUUCAAAUAAUUCGAUAAAAAGUUAUGAGAAGUAAUUUAAUUCCUAUAAAAAUAAAAAUAAUUUUCUCUCUCUUAAUAAUAAUGAUAAUAUUAUUAUUAUUCAAAUCUCUCAUAAAAAAUAAAUAAUCGAUUUUGUAACAAAAAUUAUAUAGAUACUAUUUAUUUUAUUUUUCUUAUACUAAUCAUCUAUUAUAAUAUGUUAAAAUUGAGGCUCACACUAUUUUAUUAACAACUCAUUCACUUACUCGCCACGUCACUAAAAAUCUGAUGUGACACUCUUCCAAACACAACAAUCCAAAAUUUUCCCAAACUUCUUUUAUUUAUUUAAAAAAAUGUAUUACAUUUCAUUUAUAAAUUAUUUUAAUAAAAACACUUACACUUUCGUAUUCCAUGAAUUAUUCCAUUUUAUUCCUCUAGAUAAAAAUCAUGUAUACUCAUUGAUUUAUUUAUGUUUCUCCAUUUCAUAUAUAAUGUUAUAUAUUUAUAGAAAUGGUACAUUCACAACAUACUCUUCCAAACACAUUCCAAUAUUUUUCAAAACUUCUUUAUUUAUUUAAGAAAAAUGUGUAACAUUUCAUUUAUAAAUUCUUUUAAUAAAAACACUUAUAUUUCCGUAUUCCAUGACUUAUCCAAUUCUAUUCUCUUAGUUAAAAAUCAUGUAUACUCAUUGAUUUAUUUAUGUUGUUUCUCCAUUUCAUACAUCAAAACUCAAACUAUUAAAUUUUUAUUAUAUUUUCUAAUGCGCACUCUAAUUUCUUUUAAAAACUUAAAUUAAUUAAUUUUCAAAUAAUUCGAUAAACAUUAUGAGAUUUUAUUAAAUUCUUACAAAAAUAAAAUUGUUAAAUUUUCAAAUAAUUCAAUAAAAAAUUAUGAGAACUAAUUUAGUUCCUAUAAAAAUAAAAAUAAUUUUUUCGUCUCUUAAUAAUAAUGAUAAUUUAUUAUUAUUCAAAUCACUCAUGAAAAAUAAAUAAUCGAUUUUGUCAUAAUCAUUAAAAGAUACUAUUUAUUUUAUUUUUCUUAUACUAAUCAUCUGUUAGAAAAUAUUAAAACUUAGGCUCACACUAUUUUAUUAACAACUCAAUCACUUACUCAGCAUGUCACUAAAAAUCUGAUGUGAGACUCUUCCAAACACAACAUUCCAAAAUUUUCCAAAACCUCUUUUAUUUAUUUAAUAAAAAUGUGUAACAUUUCAUUUAUAAAUUAUUUUAACAAAAACACAUAUAUUUCCGUAUUACAUAACUAAUCCACUUCUAUCCCUUUAAUUAAAAAUCAUAUAUACUCAUUGACUUAUUUACGUUGCUUUUCCAUUCCAUACAUCAAAACUUAAACUAUUAAAUUUUCAUUAUAUUUUCUAUUUCACACUCUAACUUCUUUUAAAAAAAUUAAUUAAUUAAUUUCAAAUAACUCCAUAAACACUCUAAGAGUUUAUUUAAUUCUUACAAAAAUAAAAUUAGUCAAUUUUCAAAUAAUUCGAUAAAAAAUUAUGAGAACUAAUUUAAUUCCUAUAAAAAUAAAAAUAAUUUUUCGUCUCUUAAUAAAAAUGAUAACAUUAUUAUUAUUCAAAUCACUCAUAAAAAAGAAAUAAUCAAUUUUGUAACAAAAAUUAUAAAGUUACUAUUUAAUUUAUUUUUCUUAUACUAAUCAUCUAUUAUAAAAUAUUAAAACUGAGUCUCAUAGUAUUUUAUUAACAGAAUAUUCCAAAAAGUUUGAAUUCUUUUUUAUUUAAUUAAGAAAAAUGUGUAACAUUUCAUAUUUUUUUUUACUUAAAACACAUCUACUUUCGUAUUCCAUGACUUAUCCCUUUUAUUCCUCGAAUUAAAAAUCAAGUAUACUCAUUGAUUUAUUUAUAUUGCUUCUACAUUCCAUAUAUAAUAUUAUAUACUUAUACAAAUUGUACAUCCACACCAUACAUCAAAACUCAAAGUAUAAAAUUUUCAUCAUAUUUCCUAUUGCGCACUCUAAUUACUUUAAAAAAAUUAAAUUAAUUAAUUUUCAAAUAAUUAAAUAAAUACUAUGAGAGUUUAUUCAAUUCUUACAAAAAUAAAAUUAAUCAAUAUUCAAAUAAUUCGAUAAAAAUUAUGAAAAAUAAUUUAAUUCCUAUAAAAAUAAAAAUACAUUUUCGUAUCUUAAUAUAAAUGAUAAUAUUAUUAUUAUUCAAACCACUCAUAAAAAAUAGAUAAUCUUGUAACAACAAUUAUAAAGAUACUAUUUAUUUUAUUUUUCUUAUACUAAUCAUCUAUUAUAAUAUGUUAAAACCGAGUCUCACACUAUUUUAGUGACAACUCAUUCACUUACUCGCCUCAUCACUAAAAAUCUCAUGUGACACUCUUUGAAACACAACAUUCCAAAAUUUUCUGAAACUUCUUUUAUUUUAUUGAACAAAAAUGUGUAAGAUUUUAUUUAUAUUCUUUUAAUUAAAACACUUCUAUUUUCGUAUUUCAUGACUUAUCCCCUUUUAUUCCUCUAAUUAAAAAUCAUGUAUACUCGUUAAUUUAUUUAUAUUGCUUCUCCAUUCCAUAUAUAAUGUUAUAUACUUGUACAAAUUGUACAUCCACACACAUCAAAACUCCAAAAUUAAAUUUUCAUAAUAUUUUCUAUUGCGCACUCUAAUUUCUUUAAAAAAAUUAAAUUAAUUAAUUUUCAAAUAAUUUGAUAAACACUAUGAGAGUUUAUUCAAUUCUUACAAAAAUAAAAUUAUUCAAUUUUCAAAUAAUUCGAUAAAAAAUUAUGAUAACUAAGUUAAUUCCUAUAAAAAUAAAAAUAAUUUUUUGUCUCUUAAUAAUAAAGAUAAUAUUAUUAUUAUUCAAAUCUAUCAUAAAAAAUAAAUAAUCGAUUUCGUAACAACAAUUAUAAAGAUACUAUUUAUUUUAUUUUUCUUAUACUAAUCAUCUAUUAUAAUAUGUUAAAAUAGAGUCUCGCUAUUUUAUUGACAACUCAUUCACUUACUCGCCAUAUCACUAAAAAUCUGAUGUGACACUCUUCCAAAAACAACAUUCCAAUAUUUUAUAAAACUUUUUUUUUUAUUGAACGAUAAUGUGUAACGUUUUAUUUAUAUUCUUUUAUUUCUCAAAGUAUUAAAUUUUCAUUAUAUUUUCGAUUGUGCACUAUAAUUUCUUUAUAAACAUUAAAUUAAUUAAAUUUCAAAUGGUUCGAUAAACAUUAUGAGAGUUUAUACCGUUCUUAUAAAAAUAAAGUUAGUCAAUUUUCAAAUAAUUCGAUAAAAAAUUAUGAUAACUAAUUUAAUUCCUGUAACAAUAAAAAUAAUUUUUUCGUCUCUUAAUAAAAAUGAUAACAUUAUUAUUAUUAAAAUCACUCAUCAAAAAUAAAUAAUCGAUUUUGUCAUAAUAAUUAUAAAGAUAUUAUUUAUUUUAUUUUUCUUGUACUAAUCAUCUAUUAUAAUAUAUUAAAACUGAGACUCAUACUAUUUUAUUAACAACUCAGUUACCUAAUCACCGCGUCAGUAAAAAUCUGAUGUGACACUCUUCCAAACAUAACAUUCCAAAAUUUUCCAAAACUUCUAUUAUUUAUUUAAGAAAAAUGUGUAACAUUUCAUUUAUAAAUUCUUUUAAUAAAAACAGUUAUAUUACCAUAUUCCAUGACUUAUCCAAUUCUAUUCCCUUAAUUAAAAAUCAUGUAUACUCAUUGAUUUAUUUAUGUUGCAUCUCCAUUCCAUACAUCAAACCUCAAACUAUUAAAUUUUCAUUAUAUCUUCUAUUACACACUCUAAUUUCUUUUAAAAAAAUUAAAUUAAUUAAUUUUCAAAUAAUUUAAUAAACACUAUGAGAGUUUAUUUAAUUCUUACAAAAAUAAAAUUAUUCAAUUAACAAAUAAUUUGAUAAAAAAUUAUGAGAACUAAUUUAAUUUCUAUAAAAAUAAAUAUAAUUUUUCGUCUCUUAAUAAAAAUGAUAACAUUAUUAUUAUUCAAAUAACUCAUACAAAAGAAAUAAUCAAUUUUUUAAAUUUUUUUAUAAAGAUUCUAUUUAUUUAAUUUUUCUUAUACUAAUCAUCUAUUAUAAAAUGUUAAAACUGAACCUCACACUAUUUUAUUUACACAGUAUUCCAAAAUUUUCCAAAACUUUUUUUUUAUUUAAGAAAAAUGUGUAACAUUUCAUUUAUAAUUUUUUUUAAUUAAAACACACCUACUUUCGUAUUUCAUGAGUUAUCCCCUUUUAUUCAUCUAACUAAAAUUCAUGUUUACUCAUUAAUUUAUUUAAGUUGCUUCUCCAUUCAAUAUAUAAUGUUAUAUAUUUAUACAAAUUGUACAUCCACACCAUACAUAAAAACUCAAACUAUUAAUUUUUCAUUAUAUUUUCUAUUGCGCACUCUAUUUUUUUUUUAAAAAUAAAUAAAUUAAUUUUCAAAUAAUUUGAUAAAUAAUAUGAGAGUUGAUUCAAUUCUUACAAAAAUAAAAUUAGGCAAUUUUCAAAUAGUUCAAUAAAAAAUUAUGAGAACUAAUUUAAUUCCUAUAAAAAUAAAAUUAAUUUUUUUUGUCUCUUAAUAAAAAUGACAACAUUAUUAUUAUUCAAAUCUCUCAUAAAAAGAAAGAAUCGAUUUUGAAAAAACAAUUAUAAAGAUACUAUUAAUUUUAUUUUUCUUAUACUAAUAAUCUAUUAUAAUAUAUUAAAACUGAGCUUCACACUAUUUUAUAGACAACUCGUUUACUUACUCAUGACAUCACUAAAAACCUGAUGUGGAACUCUUUCAAACACAACAUUCCAAAAUUUUCUAAAACAUCUUUUUUUUAAUUAAGAAAAAUGUGUAACAUUUCAUUUAUAAAUUCUUUUAAUUAUAACAAUUCUAUUUUUGAAUUCCCUGACUUAUCCCCUUUUAUUCCUCUAUUUAAAAAUCAUGUAUACUCGUAGAUUUAUUUAUAUUACUUCUCCAUUCCUUAUAUAAUGUUAUAUACUUAUACAAAUUGUACAUCCACACGAUACAUCAAAAUUCAAAGUAUAAAAUUUUCAUCAUAUUUUCUAUUGCGCACUCUAAUUUCUUUAAAAAAAUUAAAUUAAUUAUUUUUCGAAUAUAGCGAUAAACACUAUGAGAGUUUAUUCAAUCCUUACAAAAAUAAAAUUAGUAAAUUUUCAAAUAAUUCGAUAAAAAAUAUAAAAACUAAUUUAAUUCUUCAAAAAAUAAAAAUUAUUUUUCGUCUCUUAUUAAUAAUGAUAAUAUUAUUAUUAUUCAAACCAAUCAUAAAAAAUAAAUAAUCGAUUUUGUAACAAGAAAUAUAAAGAUACUAUUUAUUUUAUUUUUCUUAUACUAAUCCUCUAUUAUAAUAUGUUAAAACUGAGUCUCACGCUAUUUUAUUGACAACUCAUUCACUUACUCACCACAUCACUAAAAAUUUGAUGUGGCACUCUUCCAAACACAACAUUCCAAUAUUUUUCAAAACUUCUUUUAUCUAAUUAAGAAAAAUGUGUAACAUUUCAAUUAUAAAUUCUUUUAAUUAAAACACUUCUAUAUUUCGUAUUCCAUGAAUUAUCCCAUUUUAUUCCUCUAAUUAAAAAUCAUGCAUACUCAUUGAUUUAGUUAGGUUGCUUCUCCAUUCCAUUUAUAAUGUUAUAUACUUAUACAAAGUGUACAUCCACACCAUACAUCAAAACUCAAACUAUUAUAUUUUCAUUAUAUUUUCUAUUGUGCACUCUAAUUUCUUUUUUUUUAAAAUUCAAAUAAUUCUAUAAAUACUAUAAAAGUUUAUUAAAUUCUUACAAAAAUAAAAUUAGUCAAUUUUCAGAUAAUUCGAUACAAAUUUUGAGAACUAUUUUAUUACUUUAAAACUGAAAAUAAAUUUUCGACUCUUUAUAAAAAUGAUAUUAUUAUUAUUAUUAUUCAAAUCACUCAUAAAAAAUAAAUAAUCAAUUUUGUAACAUUAAUUAUAAAGAUAAGAUUUAUUUUAUUUUUCUUAUACUAAUCAUGUAUUAUAAUAUAUUAAAAAUGAGGCUCACAAUAUUUUAUUGAUAACUAAAUCACUUACUCAUCGCGUCACUAAAAAUCUGAUGUGACACUCUUCCAAAUACAACAUUCCAAUAUUUUCCAAAACUUCUUUUAUUUAUUUAAUAAAAAUGUGGAACAAUUCAUUUAAAAAUUCUUUUAACUAAAACACUUAUAUUUUUGUAUUCCAUAAGUUAUCCACUUCAAUUCCUUUAAUUAAAAAUCAUGUAUACUGAUUGAUUUAUUUAUGUUGCUUCUCCAUUCCAUAUAUAAUAUUAUAUACUUAAAUAAAAUGUGCAUCCACACACCAUACAUCAAAACUCAAACUAUUAAAUUUUCAUUAUAUUUUCUAUUGUGCACUCUAAUUUCUUUAAAAAAUUAAUAAAUUAAUUUCAAAUAAUUCUAUAAACACUUUGAGAGUUUAUUCAAUUCUUAAAAAAAUAAAAUUAGUCAAUUUUCAAAUAAUUCAAUAAAAAAUUAUGAGAACUAAUUUAAUUCCUAUAAAUAUAAAAAUAAUUUUUCGUCUCUUAAUAAAAAUGAUAACAUUAUUAAUAUUCAAAUCACUCAUAAAAAAUAAAUAACCGAUUUUGUCAUGAUAAUUAUAAAGAUACUAUUUAUUUUAUUUUUCUUAUACUACCCAUCUAUUAUAAACAACUCAAUUAAAAUGACGCUCACACUAUUUUGUUAACAACUCAAUUACUUACUCACCGCGUUACUAAAAACUGACGUGACACUCUUCCAAACACAACAUUCUAAAAUUUUCCAAAACUUCUUUUAUUUAUUUAAGAAAAAUAUGUAACAUUUCAUUUAUAAAUUCUUUUAAUAAAAACACUUAUAUUUCCUUAUUCCAUGACUUAUCCACCUCUAUUCCCUUAAUUAAAAAUCAUUUAUACUCAUUGAUUUAUUUAUGUUGCUUCUCCAUUCCUUACAUAAACACUCAAAGUAUUAAAUUUUCAUUAUAUUUUCUAUUGCGCAGUCUAAUUUCUUUUAAAAAAAUAAAAUUAAUUAAUUUUCAAAUAAUUUGAUAAACACUAUGAGAGUUUAGUAAAUUCUUACAAAAAUAAAAUUAUUCAAUUUUUAAAUAAUUAUAUAAAAAUUAUGAGAACUAAUUUAAUUCCUAUAAAAAUAAAAAUACUUUUUCGUCUCUUAAUAAAAAUGAUAAUAUUAUUAUUAUUCAAAUCACUCAUAAAAAGAAAUAAUCAAUUUUGUAAAAACAAUUAUAAAGAUACUAUUAAUUUUAGUUUUCUUAUACUAAUAAUCUAUUAUAAUAUAUUAAACCCGAGCUUCACACUAUUUUAUUGACAACUCAUUUACUUACUUAUCACAUCACACUAAAAAUAUGAUGUGGCACUCUUUCAAACACAACAUUCCAAAAUUUUCUAAGACAUGUUUUUUUUUUAUUUAAGAAAAAUAUGUAACAUUUCAUUUAUAAAUUCUUUUAAUUAAAACCAUUCUCUUUUCGUAUUCCCUGACUUAUCCUCUUUUAUUCUUCUAAUUAAAAAUCAUGUAUACUAGUUGAUUUAUUUAUAUUGCUACUCCAUUCCAUAUAUAGUGUUAUAUAAUUAUACAAAUUGUACAUCCAAACCAUACAUCAAAACUCAAACUAUUAAAUUUACAAUAUAUUUUUCUAUUGCGCACUCUAAUUUUUUUUUAAAAAUUAAAUUAGUUUUCAUAUAAUUCGAUAAACACUCUGAGAGUUUAUUCAAUUCUUAUAAAAAAAAUUAGUCAAUUUUAAAAUAACUCAAUAAAAAAUAAUGAGAAUUAAUUUAAUUCCUAUAAAAGUAAAAAUAAUUUUACGUCUCUUAAUAAAAAUGAAAAAAUUAUUAUUAUUCAAAUCAAUCACUUACUCUAUCACGUCACUAGAAAUCUGAUGUGACACUCUUCCAAACACAACAUUCGAAAAUUUUCCAAAACUUAUUUUAUUUAUUUAAUAAAAAUGUGUAAUAUUUCAUUUAUAAAUACUGAUUGAUUUAUCCCAUUUUAUUCCUCUUAUUAAAAAUCAUGUAUACUGAUUGAUUUAUUUAUGUCGCUUCUCCAUUCCAUAUAUAAUAUUAUAUACUUAUACAAAUUGUGCAUCCAUACCAUACAUCAAUAUCAAACUAUUAAAUUUUCAUUAUAUUUUCGAUUGCGCACCCUAAUUUCUUUAAAAAAAUAAAUUAAUUAUUUUCAAAUAAUUCAAUAAACACUAUGAGAGUUGAUUCAAUUCUUUCAAAAAUAAAAUUAGUCAAUUUUCAAAUAAUUCAAUAAAAAUUAUGAGAACUAAUUUAAUUCCUAUAAAAAUAAAAAUAAUUUUUCAUCUUUUAAUAAAAAUGAUAACAUUAUUAUUAUUCAAAUCACUCAUAAAAAAUAAAUAAUUGAUUUUGUAACAACAAUUAUAAAGAUACUAUUUAUUUUAUUUUUCUUAUACUAAUCAUCUAUUAUAAUAUGUUAAAACUAAGUCUUACACUAUUUUAUUAAUAAGUCAAUCACUUACUCACCACGUCACUAAAAAUCUGAUGUGACACUCUUCCAAACACAACAUUCCAAAAUUUCCCAAAACUUUUUUUAUUUAUUUAAGAAAAAUGUGUAACAUUUCAUUUAUAAUUAUUUUAAUAAAAAUACUUAUAUUUUUGUAUUCCAUGACUUAUCCACUUGUAUUCCUUUAAUUAAAAGUUUGUGAUAGAUGUUGGUACAAAAGUUUGUGAUACUAUGUAGAUUUGCAAUCCUUCUUUUAAGUUUUUUUUUUUGCAGAAAACUUUAUUUACAAAAUAAGAGUGAGAUCCUUCUUUUAAGUUUUUUGUGCCUCUUGAUCAAACAAUGUAAAAGUCUCUUUAGCAAAUUUAUAGAACACUUUCAACAUUAUUUUAAAUUAUUAAUUAUCAUAAAGUUAAUUAUUAAAUGUGUAAAAUAUGAUUGCCAUAAUAUAAAUGAAUAUUAUUUCAAAAUUAUAAUGCAAUUAUAAUCUAAUUAAUUCUUAAUUAUGAUAAAAUUAAAUUAGUGAAUUAUUUAAUUUGUAAGUAAACAAAAAUAUCAAUCUGUUUUAAAGGCUAUGAAUUGUGAGUUAUAAUGAACCUUAAACCAUUAUAAAUUUUAAUUAUUAUAUUCACCAAAAUAUGUAACUCAAGUCCAUUCAUUCAUUAGUUUUCAUUCAUGAUUUAUAAAAUAGUCAAUAAUAUUUAUUGUUAUAAUUUCAUGAGUUUUAUUUUUAUAAUAAUAAUAAUAAUACACGUCUUUAUUAAAGUAUUUAUAAAAAGAAAAUAUUUUAUUUAUGUAACAUAUUUUUAUUUGCUAUUAAUAUUUGUGAUAAAAUAGUAUAUGUUUUAAUUUAUUUUUAUGUUUAGAAUUAAAACAUCAUAUUUAUUAUACAUAUUCAUUUUUAUUUUUUCAAUAAUAAGGUUAAUAAUACAAAAUUUUAUUAUUUAUUGUAUUCAUUAUUUAAAUUUUUAUGAAAUAUUUUAAUGAUGGAAUUAAAUUUUAUAACAUUAUUUUUUUCAAUAAUUUUUUUACAAUCAUUUAUUACUUUUUCAUGCCCAAAAAUAAUAUUUUUGUAUAUUUUUUUUAUAAAUAAUAUAAUUUAUUGUAAAUAUUUUAUCAACAUUUGUUUUUUUAAUCAUGGCGUUAAUUUUUAUGACAUAAAUGUUUUCAAUAAAUUUUUACAAUGAUUUAUUAGGUUUUCUCUCUAAAAUAGUUGAGUUUCUUCUAUUAUUAGUGAAAAAUAGAUUUUUUUAUGUGCUAUUAAUAUUUGGGAUAGAAUAUUAAAUGAAUCAAUUUUUAAUGUUCAUGUGAAAUAAAAUACCAUAUUUUUUAUUCAUGUGUACUUUUCAAUUUUGAGUAAUAAUAAAAAAUUUAAAUAUUUAUGAUUUUCAUUAUUGAAUUUAUUUUUGAACAAUUUUAAAUAUUAUUGUGGUUCUCCAAAAUAAAGAAAAAAAAUUAAAUAUAAUUUAUUGUAAAUAUUUUAUCAAGAUUCGGUGGUUAUAAUACAAUUGGAAUCCAAUGAACGGUUAAUUUAUCAUAAAAUUAAUUAUUAAAUGCGUAAAAUAUGAUUGUCAUAAUAAUAAAUUAAUAUUAUUUCUAAAUUAUAAUGCAAUUAUAAUCCAAUUAAUUCUUAAUUAUGAUAAAAUUGAAUUAGUGAAUUAUUUAAUAUGUAAGUAAACAACUCUAUCAAUCCGUUUUAAACCGUGUGAAGUGCGAGUUAUAAUGAAACUUAAACCAUUAUAAAAUUUUAUUAUUAUAUUCACCAAAAUAUGUAACUCAAGUCCAUCCAUUCAUUAGUUUUCUUUCAUGAUUUAAAAAAAACUCAUCCAUCCUUCGUCUAUAACCUGCAGUUGAUUUCCCGAUACUCAUAUCAGACUUGAAGUAGCUCUUGAAAGAUUAUGGAUCCAUUGGAGCAAAGUCACAUUGCAUUAAGAGGAGAUGUUGACUCGAUGAAAAACCAGCUAGAGACCAACUUGUGGAAGCUAUGAUGUUUUAGCAAAGAAGGAAGACAACAUUCAGCGACUGCAAUUGUUGAGAAUGUUAUGCUAGCUACAGUAAAUGUCUUACCCAACCUCAGCUUGUGCAAACCCCAGUUGAGUAACUCUAUUCGUACUCUAUUGUUCAGACAGGAAGACAUCCUCAACAUUUGGCAAUCGUUGACUGAUUUGUUCUACUUUUUGCAUUUGUAGUUUCUUUUUUGUUAAAAGUGCUGUGUUUAACCAUGUUGUUUUUAAUGGUAAUAUUGAUGAAGUAAUGAUGCAGUUUUUGAAUAAUUAUCUCGCAUUCGCUCAUUUUUUUUCUUCUUAUUCAAGAAUACAAAAAAAAAAUACAUCAGUGUUCUCCCAUUCACUUUUCUUAUCAUAACUUUUGUUUAGCAAAGAUUUGAGGAGGAUGACGAAAACAAAAUACCCAUAAUUGCUGACUGUACGCUUUGGGGAUAAAAAUCCUACUGAUGAUGUACAGGCAUUAUUUCAAAUCCCCAAACACUGGAGAGAUAAGGAGUUAAUCCCUAGUCAACCACUUCAAGCCUAGAAGUAGAGUUUUCUUUGGAUCUAAAAACCUUACAUUAAACCUGGGGCAGGGUAGUGUUCAGUUAAUCUAAGACUUACAUUCGGAUUACAAGACGAAAUAUUCCCGUCUGUGGAUCAACUACAUGACAUUCUUCGCACACAUCCUAAAGUGUCGAAGGAACCUUGAAGAAUCCAAAAGUUUAUGAUGGUUGUUCUUCAAAUGACCAACGACUUGGCAGUACAUUCUGAAAAAGGAAAUCAAAUCAAAUAAAGCCCGCUCAGUCAACAACCGAGAGGCCGACUUACGCAAAAACUAGGGCAUCCCGACGUGACUAAGCUUAAAAAGUGUGGUCCAUGCAAAAGUUAGAAUCAAAACAAAAUCAAAGGAGGUCACGAAAAAAUCCUCAACAAAACAAACAAGAUUUAGUGACCACCAUAUCAACAAAUCUAAGGGGUCACAAAUAUCCAUGAAGAGCAAAUAAGGUGAUUGCCAUUUCAAGAGACCUUGAAUCAUCAUCUUUAUCCUUACACCUUCAAAAAGACGAAUGUGGAUGUUGAACUGAACUCAGCAUAUGAUUGGAGAUCAUCAUGAAAGAAAUGGGUGGGUUAAAACAAAAAUUGAGCCCUUACAUACCUUUGUUUCAAUACCAUGAACCAAGCCACUGUUACAAACCUCAAAAGACCUAAUUGAGGUAGGUUAUUCCGAAAGCAUAUUACAGCAAAGUUGCGUAAAGUGACUCCUAAAGAUUCGCUAAUAUUCAACAUCAAUGUCAUUAUUCUCGUUGUGUCUUUCACACUUUAAAUUGCUAAAUCAGCAUUACAUUGGACUCAUGGUCCACUCGUUACACAUUAUCACAUCAAUUCCGAAUAAAUGAUUCUUUUUCAAAACUUGCAUGAGUAUCGCAUUAAAAUACCAUUCGUGAACAACAAUUUUUUAACUGGCAAGACAGUACAUUGACAUCAGGAAAUUCCAACAAUAAGGAAACAAUUAGAGGAACUUGGACUUCGUUUGGUGCCUAACCCUGAAUCAAGACUACUUUCAUAACCACGAAUCAGGUGUCGAUGCCACCCAAAACAUCAAGUUGAUCAUAGAGAAAUUACUCCAAGAAUUGGUCAGUCUUAAACAGUCUCAACACGUAAAAAUGUGCAAAUCAUUUUGCAAGAACAGUUGAUCCAAGCAAUUAUCUCUCAGGACUCUAUUAACUAGGGCGCAGAUCACCUAGAGGUUUUCGUUCGCCAGGGCAGACCCUUUCAAUGUUCAGUUAAGGGUGAGUUAAGUCGCUCAACGCUCAGUACCGGGCAAAGCUACUCAAGAGCACAGAAAAGUCAACGCACUCUAAGAGUCGGUUAAACCAGGAUAAAUCCUUAUGCCCGGAUCAAAAUUUUGGGGUAAUCCACUCCAAGUUAUGGUACAAUUGCUUUCAAAAUCCUUUUUGUUGGAAACAUUUGCAUAGACCCAUCACAUUGGGCAAGAUGAGCCCAUACAUGAGCAAGUGCAUCACUCCCUGACUUCAAGCUGUUCAGGGAAAGCUUUUUCACACGUAUCAACUGCAGAGUUCAAUAUGUAGUGUCGGGGAUUCACGCUAUCACCCCAUAAAAUAACCUCUUUGACAGACAAAAGCCUUUCUACAAAAAAAACCUUCUCUUCCAAUACCCGCACAUGGCAUUGUUGGAAACCUUCAAUUCAUUACAUUAAACUCAUAUCAUGCAUUAGGUCAUGUCGCUUUGCUCUAGCUAUAAAGCCAUGCAUAUUCAUAUCAUUUAUCAGGCAUAAACCUACAUGAACGUGCAUAAAAAGCCAUUGACCCAAAAAUCUGACGCCAAAGUCCAAUUUCUCAUUUGGAAGGAUAAGUUGAACACACGCUCUUUCGAUAACCCCGUUCUCGCAUUUGACGCCCAAACUCUGGCCACCCCGACAGGGAAAAAGUCCCCAACGGCUGAUGGACCACUCUGAUCGAGGUAUGCAAAGACGAACCGACCCUCUAUCUUUUUCAUGAGAAAAUAUCUACCAGAACUAUGUAACACUAAAUUCAGGAAAGGGGAUUUUGGACCCUUCUUACACAUCCAAAGAAACACCUCAGACAUAUAAGUCGAAGUAUUAUCGUUUUUAUUAAAGUUCUAUAAUCAUAACACUGACGAAUGCAUCCAGCGAGAGGAUGCCAUGAAUGGUUGGCUCAAAAGGGAUCGUAUGACUGAGGUACAGAAAAUUGGGCAAAAGAGAUAUGGGAAGAAUCACCUAAGGGUAAAUUCUCCCUUCGAAGACUACAGACGUGAGGAAUAGUGAAAAGGAGCAAGGAGGCCAGUAAGCAAAAACAUUUUUUUACAUGUUCGCUGUUGCAGAAGGGGCACCCCGCGCGAAAAACCUAUCCCCUCCAAGAGAACCAUGAAGAGGAAGACACUUGUGUUUGUCAUACACAAGAAGGAUUAGGUACCUCGGAAAAUACCUUUACCAACCUAUGGUUGGAUGCGAGACGGCAUAGAGGGUAAGGAUACGGUCCCUAACAAAAUUCCCCCCGGUUGAUCACAACUAUAGUCAUGCAGUUUGAUGUAGGGGAUGUCUAUAGUUGUAUCAUGGAACGGCCUUACAUAGCCAUUUGGGAUGUCGUAGCCUCACUUCUGCCAUAAUCAAAACUGAAAGUUUCCACUGUUCAAGGAGAAUCGGUUACCAUUUAACAUCAAUCUCGACGGAGCAAAAAAUAUAUAUUCAAACUUCUCCAUAAAGGACCCAAUGAGAAAGUGAUGUCCGAUGGAGAUUAUGUAGCUUCCCUCACACAGCCACUCAAUAUCAUGGUUGUCUGCCCCCUAAGAAAUGGUUUAGCGUCAACAAAGGCGGAAUAGGAAAAUUAAGUGGCGGCUAAUCUACUGAUUAUGUUUCCUUUUCCAUUUUAUAUUAAAUAUGUAAUUAUAUAUAUCCUUAUCUGUAUGUAUAAGGCGACAACGCUGCAAUUUAUGAAUGGCCAAUAUAAUUCUUUCUUAAAUAUUUGUUUCUUUGGUGCAUUGUGCAAACAUGAUUGAGCGCCCCUAAUACAAAGAAAAUACAAUGAGUAUGAGGUACGUUCGACGGGAUCAAGGUCCGGUACAAAGCAAAAUAAGAGGAUUAAUCGAAGAAUGCUUUACAUGUGUCUAAACUAUAACAAUCAAAUCCCCACAAUAUAAGUGCAAAUUCCCGGUAGAUGUAUUUUAUAUUAUGUCAAAACUAGUAUACUUUUAGCGUUUAUGUAUAUGUUAGACGUAUACUUUGAAGUUCUUAAUGCUUGCAUCUUAACAUUUAGGAAGCAUAAAAAACAUUUUGGAUUGUGCAUCUUAAGCCAUUUAAGAAGCAUAAAAACAUUUUGGAAAUGUAUUUCUAAAGGUUAAAAAUAAUUCUACUUAGCCAAAAUGUUGUUAUGCAAGACACCAUGCUUAUGUGUCGACACAUACAUUGUAUGAGUCGACACUAUGUUGUUAAGUUUUUUAAGUCUGUAGCUUCUCUUUUAUGCAGUGUGGACACAUGCACAUACAAGUCGACAAUAGAAGAAAAUUUUCUUUCUAUGGGGGAAGGCCGGAACAUAUGACCUAUACAGGUCAAACACAUGCUUUGAAAGUGUCAAUAUAUGACUUUACAUUGCGCUCAACAAACGAUGCAUUUUUCCAAAAAAAUCAUGAUUUUUCAAAUCUUGUGCAUUCCUUUUUGCCGUAUAACCUUUACACACACACACACACACACACCACACACCACACACACACAACACACACACCACAACAUAUAUAUAUUAUAUAUAUAUAUAUAUAUAUAUAUUAUAUAUAUAUAUAUAUAUAAUAUAUAUAUAUAGUAUAUAUAUAUAUAUAUAUAUUAAUAUAUAUAUAUACCUUAUACAUGCAUCAUUUUAAAGAUACGAAACCAGGGAAUAUAUAAAGGAGUUAUCUUCAUCUACAGUCUAUAUUAUAUGCAUACACACAAACAAAUUAACAGAAUCAUUUUUUAUUGGGUGCCAUUCAAGAAUCAGAGUUUGAUAACGUCCAAUUUAGGUUGUGAAUUGUAAAUUGGGUUUGAGAAUCUUUGGGGCGUUCAAAUAAGACAAAUCAAUGGAGUUUCCCUUCAAGAUCAUUUUGGUGAUUUGAAGGUUUGGACAAUAUAUGAUGCAAGUGUUGGAAUUUAGCUGAGUGAAAAUCUUUGAAGAACAGUGGGUUCAGUCGAAGGAGUAACGAUACCGAGGAUUCAUCUUAUCCUGGGUGCUUGACAACAAUUUUACAAUUAGGCAUUGAUCAAAUGAAGGCUUUUGAAGAACGGGGUUCUUUGCCCAAAGCGAGUAACGUGAAACAGUUGAUCAAAUUGUAGUUGUUGUGGUGACUUGAUCAAACUCCACUCAAGGAUUAAAACAAGGUUAGAAUCAACAUCAAACAUAGCAAUUUGUAGGCGUUGGAUUUGCCUACUUUUCUCUUGUAAACAAUUCUUCUUUAAAGUAAGCAUUGAUUAUCUCCAAUUCCAUUUGGAAUUGGGGCGCAGACGAGCCAUUAGCGACGGCCGAUUAAUUUGCCUCAAUUAAAUUUUUGUGUAUUUUGUCAUUGGAUAGCAGUCCUUCACCUUUAGCUUAUAUCAUUUAAAUGAUUGUUUUUUUUUAAAUUGAUUGAUUUGUCUAUCAUUAUUCAUCAAUUGGUUUUCAUUAUACGCAUAUUUGAGCCUUCUCGAUAGUGCCGUUCGCAUUAAAGCAUUCGAUUCGGGUCAUUCUGACUAACGUUAAAAUUUUUAAAAAAUUUUUGUAAAGUUUUUUAACUUGGGAUUUAUUCACCCACUUCCCUCUAGAUAAGUUGUAUCUUCAGCAUACAACAACAAAGCAUACACAAAUAAAAUUCAUAUGUGCUACCAAAGACAUUUUACACAUCCGACUAUAUAAUAAAUUCCCCAUCGUCAUAGUGUUGUCGGAGGACUCUUUUCACGUGUGCACUAGAUCAAUAAUACUUCCCACACCAAGGGGUGUUAUCAGAGAUUUUUGUUACGUCAAAACUAUAAUAAGUCGAAUCUCUUAUCAAACCAUGCGCGUGCUGUCGGGAGACGCCUUUAUUAUGGCCCAACUACAAAAUUAAAUACCCACAAGCCAAUAAUCGUUCAAUCCCUUUUGGCAUCUAGCCAAUCUAGAGCCGUUAGUAGCGUUAGUCACCAUGUCUACCCCGUACUGGCGGUUUUCACAUGGCGAGGAAGGGAACCGACCCGUUGCACGAGAACAAUCCCUAAUGACGUUUAAUAAAAUUCAAUGGGAGACCCCUCGUAAGUUCGUACAAGAUCCAGAGGCUUUUGGCCACUAAGGAAUCCUACAAAAUACACCUUAAAUAAGUAAAAAAAGUGAAUUUCAUUCCAAAAAUGUGAAAUAUAUACACAUAUAUUCUUCAUUGCAUAAGUGUUAUAUAUACAACAACAUCACAAAAAAAAUGGGUUGGCAUGGCUACUCCAGUAGAAAAGAACAAUGUCUCCGUCUUUAAGCAUUUGAUCUGGCCGAAUUGCUCCCUUUAGACGCAGCCAGAGUGUCAGUGAAAAUGUUCCACUUACUGCAAGCAUUCCUCCAAUAGCUACUGCUUGUUAAAUUUGAAUGCUCAAUGUUGCCACUCAGAUAAUCGCCAAUGCUAAGGUUGGAAAGCAUCUCUAAGGCGCAAAACUGCCCAAAUCCCUUAUGAGCUACUGAAAUGAUGUAUGAGUAUAAGAUAAAUUUCCCUGGGGACAACAAGCUACGAGCCAGUUUUUUUCUUGCCACAGCCUCCUCGCCAGAUGAGUCACGCUGACCGGCAGAGAGUCAGGAGGUUAAAUGGCGGAUCAAAGCAUCCUUUAUCUCGAUUUAAGAAAAAAGUAUAAGUUAUAUGUAUUUCUUGCAGAUAACUUUAUCCUGCUGAAGCAUAAGAUUUUGAACAUUUUCUUCCAAAUAAUUUGCCUAUUCUUAGUACGUUGUUGGGUCAGACCAAGAGCUUCCAGCGGGCCAACUCCAACUGAGGGUUAAAAUGACAAAAAGCAUGCCCUGAAUAUACCGAGUCAGAGUUACCAGUUCUUCCUAUUGGGCGGGACCAGACAUAUUGGCUAAAAUAUGCAGCAAUCCUCUCUGAAUGGGUCUAACAAACCUUAGGAGGGACGUGAGCUCGAAAUUGUAAUCAAUAGACGCUGAAGAAAGACCUUGUACACUCGACAUAAGGUAAUGACUUCUCAUUCAAUACAUGGGGAAACAACUCAAACACAUUUCCUCCACUGAUGUCCCAAAUACCGCAAACUGUAGCAUGGUCCUUCGGGCGAAUAGGUUGGACCCAUAAAAGAACCACAAUCUUCAAAUAGGUUGCAACUCAUGAAGAGACAUAAAGCCACAGAUGUUCGACUUCCAGAGAAAAUUAACAUUUAAUCUCACGUCUGCAGUCGCAGGGGCCACGACGACAUCGAAAGAGAUGAAAGAAAAAAAGCCCACAUAUGGGAAUUUCCUUACCAGGAUUUGGCCAUCAACAUUUGAUUGCAAAUUCACCAUACUCGCGUCUUGUGGGAUGAAGUUGUGCGACAAGAUGUCAUCACCAAAUUCUUCAAGACUCUAUCUCAAGGAGGUAGUGAAUGGUAUGCGUGCAUUCCAAAAACUGGAAGAAAGUGCACUCCAUAUAAGGGGAUGCCACCCUUAUAUUGACGUUCGAGGCUUUUGAGUGUUAACCUUACAUGUCAGACCACUUCUCCACCACACGCCUCGGAUACACCAUCAUUUUUAUACCUCAUAUAAUGUCUAAUUGCCAGAACGGAACAUCAACAUGAAGAAAGUGACUGAUGAUAUAAUGCCUUUAUAAAAUCUUUUGAUUCUCUUUCAAAUUUUACAUUAACAAACUAUUGACAGUCAAAAAUUCUCGAAGUAUGACAUAACUGUAUUUUUUCUUUGAUGAAUUAGGUUGCACCUCACUCUCCGUUAAGCAUUGCUCUUAAUUAGAAAAUGUUGUAAAUGCGAUUCUUUCCUCUAAUUGAAACACAAACACCCUACCUUUUUUUCUUGUUUCUUUUUUUUCUUUUGAUUAUGCCUUUCAUUUCUUUCACUCAAACAACGUCGGCCAUUUUUUUUCUCUUCUAUUUGUUAUUUUUUAUUUGCAUAAAAAAUUACCAACAAUAAAAAUAACAAAAUGUUAAGGGUUUCCUAGGACCUUAUAUUUUUAAUUACCAAUAGCCCCAAACAUAAUGAUUACCAAUUACAGUAGCCGUAGGUAAAAUAUGGGAAGGGUUCUUAGGGUACCCGUUACUUUUUCUCUUCUGAUAUUUUUCGUAUUUUUUAUUUUUAUUUUUAUUUUUGUGCAUAAAAAUUUAUCUAUUAACAGAUUGUAAACUCAAGUUGAUUUUUACGGGGUUUUUCCUUUAUUAAUGUAUUUUAAAAGAAUAAUGAAAGUUCCAAAUCGACAAAGGAAAUGUAAUAGCAUAAACAUAAACCAAAGGGUCAAAUGGAUAAGAGCAAAUAUGAUAUAAAACACAUAAUAAUUGUACAAAUGUUAUAUACAUAAUUAAGCAUUAACUAAAAUUUAUCUAAUAGUAAAUAAGGCAGAAAAUUAAAUUGACUUUGAACGGUAAAAAGUUAAUACAAAGUAUAUAAUGUAGUAAAAGAUGUUAUGUUGAAGAUGAAAAGAUAUUUUGUGUUGCAUUUUUUUUGGGAACACUCAUACUAUUCCACUCACAUUAUAGUAUGGAUUGAUCUUUUAUAAUAUACAUCAUUUAUUGAGAAGUUUUGCAUCUAACUUGUGAAUUCAAAUCAUACGAAUGUUUAUGCCACUAGCUCUCACAAAAUGGUAAUAAAGAGCGCAACAUUUCACCUACCAAUUACCUACGAAUGGAAUUUGAGACUACAUAGUCGUCACUUGAUAAACAUGUCAUUGCCUUUGGGUAAUGAUGUAAUACGCUAUUGUUUGGAUAGCAAAUCUAAUUGGAUCUUUAUGUUUAGAGCUCACAACUGUCUGCGAGGCGCUGUCAAAAAUAAAUGUGUUUGUUGUUAAUACCAUGAUUAGAGAAAUGAAUAGUGCUAACCCUCAUCCUCAAGCUAUGUUCAUACAAGAAUAUGUGAUUAUAAAGGAAAGGGAUGGUCAAACACAAAGGCUAGAGGAUCUCUCCUUCUNAUCAAGACUACCUCAUAACCCACGAAUCAGGUGCAUGCCACCCAAAACAUCAAGUUGAUCAUAGGAAAAUUACUCCAAGAAUUGGUCAGUCUUAAACAGUCUCCAACAUCUGUUAAUAAAUGUGCAAAUCAUUUCAAGAAUCAGUUGAUCCAAAGCAAAUUAUCUCAGGACUCUAUUAACUAGGGGCAGAUCACCUAGAGGUUUUGUUGGCCAGGGGCAGACCCUUUCAAUGUUCAGUUAGGGUGAGUUAAGUCGCUUCAACGCUCAUACCGGGGCAAGCUACCUCAAGAGCACAGAAAAGUCAACCACUCUAAGAGUCGGUUAACCAAGGAUAAAUCCUUUCAUGGAUCAAAAUUUUGGGGUAAUCCAUCUCCAAGUUAUGGUACAAUUGCUUUCAAAAUCCUUUUGUGGUAAACAUUUUGCAUAGACCCAUCACAUUGGGGCAAGAUGAGCCAUACAUGAGCAAGUCAUCUCCCUGACUUCAAGCUGUUCAAGGGAAAGCUUUUUCACACGUCAUCAACUGCAGAGUUCAAUAUGAGUGUCGGGGAAUCACGCUAUCACCCCAUAAAAUAACCUUUUGACAGACAAAAGCCUUUCUACAAAAAAACCUUCUCUUCCAAUACCCGCACAUGGGCAUUUUGGAAACCUUCCAAUCAUUACAUAAAUCAUCAUCAUGCAUUAGUCAUGUCGCUUUGCUCUAGCAUAAAGCCAUGCAUAUCAUAUCAUUUAUCAGGCAUAACCCAUAACAUGAACCUUGAAACCUUCCAAUCAUUACAUAAAUCAUCAUCAUGCAUUAGUCAUGUCGCUUUGCUCUAGCAUAAAGCCAUGCAUAUCAUAUCAUUUAUCAGGCAUAACCCAUAACAUGAACCUGACAUCAAAAAGCAUUGAAACCCAAAAUCUGACGCCAAAGUCCAAUUCUCAUUUGGAAGAUAAGUUGAACACACGCUUUGAUAACCCCGUCUCGAUUGACGCCAACUCUGGCCACCCGACAGGGAAAAAGUCCCCAACGGCGGAUGGACCACUCUGAUCGAGGUAUGCAAAGACGAUACGACCCUCUAUCUUUUUCAUGAGAAAAUAUCUACCAGAACUAUGUCAACACUAAAUUCAGGAAAGGGGAUUUUGACCUUCUUACACCAUCAAAGAAACACCUCAGACAUAUAAGUCGAAGUAUUAUCGUUUUUAUAAAGUUCAUAAUCAUAACACUGACGAAUGCAUCCAGCUGAAGGAUGCCAUUGAAUGGUUGGUCAAAAGGGAUCGUAUGACUGAGUACAUGAAAAUUGGGCAAAAGAGAUAGGGAAGAAUCACCUAAGGGUAAAUCUCCCUCGAAGACUACAGACGUGAGGAAUAGUGAAAGGAGCAAGGAGGCCAGUAAAGCAAAACAUUUUUACAUUGUCGCUGUUGCAGAAGGGGCACCCCGGGAAAACCUCCCCUCCAAGAGAACCAUGAAGAGGAAGAUCACUGUGAUGUUUGUCAUACACAAGAAGGAUGUAGGUACCUCGGAAAAUACCCUUUACCAACCUAUGUUUGGAUUGCGAGACGCAUAGAGGGUAGGAUAGGUCCCUAACAAAAUUCCCCCCGGUGAUCACAACUAUAGUCAUGCAGUUUGAUGUAGGGGUGUCUAUAAUUGUAUCAUGGGAAGGCCUUACAUAGCCAUUUGGGAUGUCGUAGCCUCACUUCUGCAUAUCAAACUGAAGUUUCACAAUGUUCAAGGAGAAUCGGUUACCAUUAACAUCAAUCUCGACGGAGCAAAAAAUAUAUAUCAAACUCUCCAUAAAGACCAAUGAGAAAGUGUGUCCAUGGAGAUUAAUGUAGCUUCCCUCACCAGCCACCUCAAUAUCAUGGUUGUCUUUUAACAUCAAUCUCGACGGAGCAAAAAAUAUAUAUCAAACUCUCCAUAAAGACCAAUGAGAAAGUGUGUCCAUGGAGAUUAAUGUAGCUUCCCUCACCAGCCACCUCAAUAUCAUGGUUGUCUGCCCCCUAAGAAAUGGUUAGGUCAACAAAGGCGAAUAGGAAAAUAAGUGGCGGCUAAUCUACCUGAUUAUGUUUCCUUUUCCAUUUAUAUUAAAUGAUGUAAUUAUAUAAUCCUUAUCUGUAUGUAUAAGGACAACGUGCAAUUAUGAAUGCAAUAUAAUUCUUUCUAAAUAUUUGUUUCUUUGUGAUUGUGCAACAUGAUUGAGGCCUAAUACAAAGAAAAUAACAAUGAGUAUGAGGUACGUUCGACGGGAUCAAGGUCCGGUACAAAGAAAAUAAGAGGAUUAAUCGAAGAUGCUUUACAUGUUCAACUAUAACAAUCAAAUCCCCACAAUAUAAGUGCAAAUUCCCGGUAGAUGUAUUUUAUAUUAUGUCAAAACUAGGAUACUUUAGCGUUUAUGUAUAUUAGACGGUAUACUUUGAGUCUUAAUGUGCAUCUUAACAUUAGGAAGCAUAAAAACAUUUUGGAUUGUGCAUCUUAGCAUUAAGAAGCAUAAAAACAUUUUGGAAAUGAUUUCUAAAAGGUUAAAAAUAAUUCUACUUAGCAAAAAUGUGUUUUUAUGCAAGACACAUGCUUAUGUGUCGACACAUACAUUGUAUGAGUCGACACAUGUUGUUAAGUUUUUAAGUCUGUAGCUUCUCUUUAUGCAUGUGUGGACACAUGCAACAUACAAGUCGACACAUAGAAGAAAAUUUUCUUCUAUGAGUCGACAUAUGACCUAUACAGGUCAACACAUGCUUUGAAAGUGUCAAUAUAUGACUUACAUUGGUCAACACAUACGAUGCAUUUUUCCAAAAAAUCAUGAUUUUUUCAAAUCUUGUGCAUUCCUUUUUGCCUCUAACUUACACACACACACACACACACACCACACACCCACACACACACACACACACACACCACACAUAUUUUAUUAUAUAUAUAUUAUAUAUAUAUAUAUAUAUAUAUAUAUAUAUUAUAUAUAUAUAUAUAAUAUAUAUAUAUAUAUAUAUAUAUAUAUACCUUAUACAUGCAUCAUUUUAAAGAUACGAAACCAGGAAUAUAUAAAGAGUUAUCUUCAUCUACAGUCUAUAUUAUAUGCAUACACACAAACAAAUUAAACAUAAUCAUUUUUUAUUUGGGUGCCAUCAAGAAUCAGAGUUGAUAACGUCCAAUUUAGGUUGUUGAAUUGUAAAUUGGGUUGAGAAUCUUUGGGGGUUUCAAAUAAGAAAAUCAAGAUGGAGUUUCCCUUCAAGAUCAUUUGGUGAUUUGAAGGUUUUGGACAAUAUUAUGCAAGUUGGAUUUAGCUGAGUGAAAUCUUUGAAGAACAGUGGGUUCAGUCGAAGGAGUAACGAUAACCGGAGGAUCAUCUUAUCCUGGGUGACAACAAUUUACAAUUUGGAUUGAUCAAAUGAAGGCUUUGAAGAACGGGGUUUCUUGCAAAGGAGUAACGUGAAACAGUAGAUCAAAUUGGUAUUGUUGGGUGACUUGAUCAAGCUCCACUCAAGGGAAUAAAACAAGUUAGAAUCAACAUCAAACAUAGCAUUUGUAGGGUUGGAUUGCUACUUUUCUCUUGUAAACAAUUCUCUUUAAAGUAAGAUUGAUUAUCUCAAUUCCAUUUGGAAUUGGGGGCAGACGUAGCCAUAGCGAGGCCGAUAAUUUGCCUCAAUUAAAUUUUUGUGUAUUUUGUCAUUGGAUAGAGUCUUCACCUUUAGCUAUAUCAUUUAAAUGAUUGUUUUUUUUAAAUUGAUUGAUUUGUCUAUCAUUAUCAUCAAUUGGUUUUCAUAUACGCAUAUUUGAGCUUCUCGAUAGUGGUUCGAUUAGAUGAUUCGAUUCGGGUCACUUCUGCUAACCGUUAAAAUUUUUAAAAUAAUUUUUGUAAAGUUUUUUAACUUGGGAUUUAUUCACCACCUUCCCCUCUAGAUAAGUUGUAUUCUUCUAGCAUACAACACAAAGCAUACACAAAUAAAUUCAUAUGUGCUACCAAAGACAUUUUACACAUCCGACUAUAUAAUAAAUUCCCCAUCGUCAUAGUUGUUGUCGGAGACUCUUUUCACGUGUGACUAGAUCAAUAAACUUCCCACACCAGGGGUGUUAUCAGAGAUUUUUUGUACGUCAAACUAUAAUAAUCGAAUCUCUAUCAACAUGGGUGCUGUCGGAGACGCUUUAUAUGCCCAACUACAAAAAUUAAAUACCCACAAGCAAUAAUGGUUCAAUCCCUUUUGCAUCUAGCCAAUCUAGAGACCGUAGUAGGUUAGUCACAUGUCUACCCCGUACUGGGUUUUCACAUGGGGGGAAGGGAACCGACCCUUGACCGAGAACAACCCUAAUGACGUUUAAUAAAAUUCAAUGGGAGACCUCGUAAGUUCGUACAAGAUCCAGAGCUUUGCACUAAGGAUCCUACAAAUACACCUUAAAUAAGUAAAAAAAAGAAUUUCAUUCCAAAAAUGGAAAUAUAUACACAUAUAUUCCUUCAUUGCAUAAGUGUUAUAUAUACAACACACAUACAAAAAAAAUGGUUGGCAUGGCUACUCCAGUAGAAAGACAAUGUCCCCGUCUUUAAGCAUUUGAUCUGGCCGAAUUUGCUCCCUUUAGACAGCCAGAGUUCAGUGAAAAUGUUCCACUUACUGCAAAGCAUUCUCAAACUACUGUGAAAUUGUCUCAAUGUUGGCACUCAGAUAAUCGGCCAAUUGCUAAGUUGGAGAAGCAUUCUCAAGGCGCAAAACUGCCAAUCCCUUAUGAGCUACUGAAAUGAUGUAUGAGUAUAAGAUAAAUUUCCCUGGGCAACAGCUAGAGCAUGGUUUUUUCUUGCCACAGUCCUCGCCAGAUGAGUCACCUGACCGGCCAGAGAGUCAGGGAGGUUAAUGGGGAUCAAAGCAUCCUUUAUCUCGAUAAGAAAAGUAUAAGUUAUAUGUAUUUCUUGCAGAUACUUAUCCUGCUGAAGCAUAAGAUUUUGAACAUUCUCUUCCAAUAAUUGCUUCUUAGUACGUUGUUGGUCAGACCAAAGAGCUUCCCAGCGGCCAACUCCACUGAGGGCUAAAAUGACAAAGGCAUGCUGAAUAUACCGAGUCAGAGUUACCAGUUCUUCCUAUUGGGCGGGACCAGACAUAUUGGCUAAAUAUGAGCAAUCCUCUUCUGAAUGGGGGGUCUAACAACCUUAGGAGGGACGUGAGCUCGAAAUUGUAAUCAAUAGACGUGAAGAAAGACCUUGUACACUCGACAUAAGGUAAUGACUCUCAUUUCAAUACAUGGGGAACAACUCAACACAUUUUCCCUCCACUAUGUCCCAAAUACCGCAAACUGUAGCAUGGUCCUUCGGGCGAAUAAGGUUGACCAUAAAGAACCAAUCUUCAAAAGGUUGCAACUCAUGAAGAGACAUAAAGCCACAGAUGUUCGACUCCAGAGAAAUUAACAUUUUAUCUCACGUCUGAGUCGCAGGGCCACGACGACAUCGAAAGAGAUGAAAGAAAAAAGCCACAUAUGGAUUUCCUUCCAGGUAUUUGCAUCAACAUUGAUUGAAAUUCACAUACUCUCGUCUUGUGGGAUGAAGUUGUGAAAGAGUCAUCACCAAAUUCUUCAAGACUUCUAUCUCAAAGGUAGUGAAUGGUAUGCGGUGAUCCAAAACUGAGAAAGUGCACUCAUAUAAGGGGAUGCCACCCUUAUAUUGACUUGAGCUUUUGAGUGUUAACCUUACAUGUCAGACCACUCUCCACCACACGCUCGGAUACACCAUCAUUUUUUAUCCUCAUAUAAUUCUAAUUGCAGAACGGAACAUCAACAUGAAGAAAGUGACUGAUGAUAUAAUGCCUUUAUAAAAUCUUUGAUUCUCUUUUCAAAUUUUACAUUAACAAACUAUUGACAGUCAAAAUUCUCGAAUAUGACAUAACUGUAUUUUUCUUGAUGAAUUAGGUGCACCUCACUCUCCGUUAAGUCAUGCUCUUAAUAAGAAAAUGUUGUAAAUGGAUUCUUUCCUCUAAUGAACACAAACACCUACUUUUUUUUUCUUUUUUCUUUUUUUUCUUUUGAUUAUUGCCUUUCAUUUCUUUCAUCAACAACGUCGGCCUAUUUUUUUCUCUUCUAUUUUGUUAUUUUUAUUUGCAUAAAAAUUACACAAUAAAAAUAACAAAAGUUAAGGGUUUCUAGGACCUUAUAUUUUAAUUACAAUAGCCCAAACAUAAUGAUUACCAAUUACAGUAGCUCGUAGGUAAAAAUUAAGGGUUUCUAGGACCCUACUUUUUUCUCUUCUAUUUUUGUUAUUUUUAUUUUUAUUUUUAUUUGCAUAAAAAUUUACAUUAACAAGAUAACCAAGUUAUUUUUAGGGGUUUUUCCUUUAUUAAUGUAUUUUAAAAGAAAAUGAAAGUCCAAAUCGACAAAGGAAAAAUAGCAUAAACAUAAACAAAGGUCCAAAUGGAUAAAGAGCAAAUAUGAUAUAAACACAAAUAAUUUGAUACCAAAUGUUAAACAUAAAAGCAUAAACUAAAUGACAUAAAAAAAGGCAGAAAAUUAAAUGACUUUGAAGGUAAAAGUUAAUACAAGUAAAAUGUUAGUAAAAGAUGUUAGUGAAGAUGAAAAGAUAUUUUGGUCAUUUUUUGGGGAACACUCAACUAUCCACUCACAAGUAUGGAAAUAUGAACCUAUACAUCAUUUAUGAGAAGGGAUCUAACUUGGAUCAAAUCAACAAGUAUGCCACUAGCUCUCACAAAUGGAAAAAGAGCAACAUUUUCACACAAUACCACGAGGAAUAUGAGACUUACAAUCUCACUUAUAAACAUGUCAUUGCCUUUGGGGAAAAUGUAACGCUAUGUUAAGCAAUCAUAAUUGGACUUAUGUAGAAGUCACAACUAUCUGAGGCCGGUCAAAAAUAAUGUUUGUGUUAAUACAUGAUAGAGAAAUGAUAUGUAAACCCUCAUCCUCAAGCUAUGUCAUACAAGAAAAGAAAAAGAAAGGGGAUGGUCAAACACAAAGGCUAGGAGGAUGGUCCAUUACUUCAAUCCAUAUUUCAUGACACUUAGGAAAAACUUAUACAUCAAUCUAAAGUACCUUAAAUGAUUCAUGAUCACUUAGAAGGUGGAUUUGAAAUGAUGAAAGUUCACCAAGCACCAAUCCACACAUCAUGAACAAGAUGAACACAAAUCCAUCCAAUUGAUCAAAGGAAAAAGAAAGGGGACAAUAGAGAUCACAUCCAAAUUGAAUCACAAAUUUGAUCAAGUCAUCAUCAAAAUCAACCAUCCAUUUUGGUGGAUUAGGGUUUUCACCCCAUCAAUACCCAAGAUCCAUUGAGUUUGAUGAGACUUGAAGUUAAAAUCAUCAUGAUCCAAGACCAACAGAAGUCCAAAAGGUCAAACAAAUUUAAAAUGCAAUUAAAUAAAAUAAAAAUGCAAUAAAGGUAUUUUUAAAUGAUUUUUAAAAUAGAAUAAAAAUGGAAAAUCCACAAAGUCCUUCAAAACACCAAAUAAAUGGUCAAGGAAAUUAUGGAAGUUUGGAAAUAAAAUGAGAAACAUAUAAUAAAAAUUUCAGAAUUUUAAAAUGCAGAAAAGUAAUUUUAAAUCAAUUAAAAGAAAGGAGAAAAGAAAAAAAUAAUGAAAAAUAGAGAAUCAGUGAAAUAAAAUGUGAAAAAAUAAAAAUCAAAUGAAGAAAAAUAAAAGAUGAUUUUAGAAAUUAUUUUGGGAUUUUUUGGAUAAAAAAAUAAAUUUACUACGAAUUUUUAAAGAAACAACAAUUUAAAAUGAUAAAAGAAAAAGAAUUAAAAUCAGAAAAAAUCAGGAGCGUUGGAUCACAACUCAUUAAUUGACGUGUUAGACCCAACACUCCAAAUGAUGAGAAACACGAUGGAACACACUGCAAUCAUAACACAAGAUCCAAUUUGAAUUUGACCAAUCAAAACAUUUCAAAAUGCCAAUGUGUAUGGUCCUAACUCAGACCACCUGAGAAAUACUUCGGUCAUCUUCUCCGGUGAGUUCUCACCUGAUUUUCAUCGUUUGGUAACUUCAAGACACGCGACCACCACCAUUGUGAUCCUCUUCUCGUCCUGAAUUCUACCUUAUGCUUCAAACUCAUUUAUAUGAACUUGGCAAAGGGAAUUUCAAAGAAGUUUCAGAAACAAGCAAGCCACGAAAAAUAAAAUUAAAUAAUGAACACGAUCAAUCAACACCAAAUACGUUAGGGGAAAGCAUCAGAGAGUGAAGGACUACAUUGUGGUAACUUGUUUGAGUUCAAAUGAUGCUCAUAACUAUCUUGUCCGGAUGGUGAUCAGAAGUUGAUGAAGUUCGAACUGGUUGGAGCAAUUCAAAAGGUCUCAAUGCUUGGGAGUUGUUGCAAAACUUUCGGAGGAUGUCGAUGGAGCUAAUAGAAUCAAGAAAAUGGAUUGAAACAUGCUGAAAAUCAAAACAUGAUAGUUGGAUUUUUUGGAAAAACUUCAAGUUGCAGCAGGGGGUUCUUGACUCUCAAAAUCUUGUUAAGGAAGGCAGUAGCUUCCUCUAUUUAUAGGCAAUGUAAUUGGAUCCAAAUACGUGUGGAAUAAUGUUGAAUUCGUGCAAAACAAAUUUGAUCCAAGUGUGUGAAAAAUGUGACUUGAAACUCCUCAAAACUCAGUCAAAUGAUGCAUUUUAAGUGUCAAUUAACUUCUGGAGGUUUGUUAAAAUAUGUUUAGGAACAAAACACUUGCUAAUUUGACUUGGAAUUGAGUUUAGUCAUGAUCAAAUUUCGGGCAAUGAUGAUUUCUUCAGUUUCAAGUCACCAUGUUCAACUCAAUGGGGCAUCCUACUCAAGAGGCUUUUUGAUCCCAUUCUUUUUGCAAUGUGUUAACAUCAUGGUCAAUAUUUCAAUGUGCUAAGAAAGGUUGCAUUUGGAUGUUUGAGAAUAAAGUUAUGGUUUGUUGAAGUUGGUAUAAAAUACUGGUUCCAUAACUUCGAAAAAUUCGAGUGCUUCAUGAUUGAAAAUGACGUAUAAUGUACCAAUGGAUUCCAUGGUCUUAGAACAAUAUUUUGACAUUGGUCCUUGAAGCAAACUUGUAGAGAGUAUCACCAAUGGUAUUAUGCAAAAAGAAUCAGCCUCAUGUAUUGAAAAUUGAAGAAGUUAUGAUCCUUGAAAGUUGGCAAAAAGUCACUUGAAAAUAGGUCAAAUUUCACUAAGUCAACAAAUGACCUAUAAUGUCUCCAAACUUUUGAUGGUCCUUCAAGCAUAAUUGGCUCUUGUCAUAUAAAGAUAAGUUGUAUAGGAUGUUGAGAAUAGUCAUAUGCAAAAAGGGACAUUCAAAAAUGUUGAGAAAUGAAGGAGUUGUGAUCCUUGGAACUUUGACUUCAAAAGAUUGAUUUUUAUGUCAAACCACUUGGAACAAGCUUGUGCACUUGAACUUUCCUUGCACUUCAAAGCACGGAUGAUGAUAUGAACUCAAGAUAAGGUGUCCUUGAUGGUAUCUUGAUUAAAUUUCUCAAAUCUUGAAGUUACUUGUUGAAAAAGGCGUGGAAAUAAACACGUGAACCUUUAACUUUCUCUAAGAAGUAAGCCACCAAAUUUUGAGAUGCUUUUGGCUUGAGAAGCCCUACCUUGCACAACAAACUUAAGGGAUACAAUAAAUAUUUUUGGUAUUUUGAUUAGUGGUUCGAUAAGCAAUGAACAUAUAAAUACAAAGGUAAACAAAAAGGUGUUUGGUGAUCCAUGCAAGAAGCAAACCUAAAGAUGGAUAAGGGGAAGGAUAAAAAAGUGACAUUGUUUGUGUGCAAGAAUGUAAAUGAGAUGUGAGAUCUUAGGGUUAAAAAUUAGGGUAUGACAGAUUCCCCUAUUUAAGUUUCUUCAAUUUGGAGAUAUGAAAGUUGAAAUCUUCAUCUCGACAAGAUUGGAGAGACAUAAAUAUUAAAGGCCCAAUGUUUGGCCCUAAGAUACUGCAAGAUGUUUAUGAUAUGACAUGAAUGCAAACAAGAUUCUAUGUGGGGAAUAUAGCGCCACAAGAGAUAAAGAACUGUUAGAGACGAUGGAGACUGAAAUUCUGCAGGGAAAAGACAGAUUCGAAAGGAGUACCCAGAUGGGGACAAACAAGAUUCCGUAUGGGGAAAAAGAAAAGGUCAAAAAUAACCGAUGCAUGGUUAGAGAACGAACUAAAGACCCAACAAGGAAGACUUAAAAAAGUAAGACUUCGUCGGGGAAAAGCAAUCAUCAACAGGGAAAAAUCCUAACUCCAGUAGGAGAAGAAUAUUACCUACUAUUAGCCGAGUGAUAACUUAAUAAAGAUAAUAAGCUCAAACAGAAUGAUUACUAACUACCAGCCAAGUGAUAUCUUAACAAAGGUAAUCAAUCAGAGAGUAAAAGGAACUAUUACCUACUAUCAGUCAGGUGAUAGCUUAAUAAAGAUAAUAAACUCAAACAAAAUGAUUACCAACUACCAACCAAUUGAUAGUUUAACAAAGAUAACCAAUCAGAAGUUAAAAUGAAUUAUUACCUACUAUCAGACAAGUAAUGACUUGACAAAGAUAAUAAACUCAAACAAAAUGAUUACCAACUCCUACAAACUACUCUAAUUGUGUGUGUAAUUUAAUUAAGGGUUUCUAGAACCUUAUAUUUUUAUUACAAUAAAAUGAAAAUUAGAAAACAAACAUCCAAAAUGGAUUGUGUCCGCUACUCUUCUCGCUGCAAUGAUACAAGCCAAGUUAUGAACUAUUCCUCAUCAACUGCCGAGGUCUGAUUUUUUCAUUCGAGCUUGGAAGCAUGACUGUAACUUGAUACAUUGACUCUUCAUAUGGUGUUAUGAUAUGCAUGAGGACCUGAUAAGCUUUUUUCAUUCAUUGCUUGAUUGUUUGUCUUGCCAUGCCCUCUCCUAAAAACACAGUUAAGGCAUUCGCCCGCAGAAGAAGAUGCGGGUGCGGCCAUUAACGUUAACAUCGAAUUGUUUAUCUCACUUUCACUCUCCUCUCGACCACCACCAACUCCUCCACCGACCCAUUUCGAACAACUCCCUCAUCAACUCCUACGUUCGCCGAGCUCAACCUUCUCCGCAUGGAAACCUCUUCCGUCUCUCUCCGUCGUUACGUUCCGACAUCCGAUGCUCACACAUUCACCCCUCUCUCUUACUCCAUCUUUCUCCAUCACUCGGUAAACAAUUUCACGCACAAAUGAUCAGAACCGGUGUAGAUUCCGGAACUAGUUCAAAACCGCACUCCUUGAUAUGUAUUCAAGGCACGACCUCAUUGGUGAAUUCCCUUAAGGUGUUUGACGCAAAUGCUUCACAGGGAUGUAGUUGCUUGGAAUGUCUUUGUUGUCGUGCUUUUUGCGAUGCCGGCAACCUCACGAGGCGAUUGGUGUUCUAAGGGACAAUGGAGAGAGAAUGUUGAGCUUAGUGGUUUACAUUGUGUUCUGUUUUGACAGUCGUGUGCUUCUUUGAAGGCUUUGGAACUUGGUAGAUCAGGUUCAUGGAUUGGUGUUUCGUUGGGGCUGAAUUGGUUGUUUUGAGUACACUGCUCUCCAUUGAUUUUAUUUGUGAGUGUUGGGGUGUGUAAUCAAUGCUUUAUUAGUGUUUAUAGUUUGAAUGGUUGGAAAGAUAUAAUGAUUGCUAAUUCGUUGGUUUCUGGGUGUGUAUUAGAUAUGGGAGAUAUGGGGAGAUCGGGUUUAAAGUUAUUAGCUUGGUGAAGCCCAAAGUUGUUGCAUUCACUGUGUUUCUGGUUAGUUGCCUCUGAGAAUUGGAUUUGGCUACCAGGAGACGUAUGACAAGUGCAUUUGUGUUGCGGUUCCGAUUAGGGGCUGUUCACUUUUGAUGACCCCAAUUAUGUAAAUUGUACGUGUUGGACACUCGUCAUGUGCUCAAAUCAGUGGAAGAUUUUCCACUAUGGAACCAGAGACAAAUCCCGCUCGUGUUGAUGGAAUUCGUUCGAAAGGCACUGUGAUUUCAUAGGACUUGUUAUGAUUGAUGCAUAUGGAAAGAAUGUGUGGAAGAGGCAAGCUAUCGAAGGUCUUUGUAAGUAGUGACGAGUGACGAAUCGGGAGUGCAUGGUGUUGCCGAAUGUCCCUGUGACUUUUUAUCUGUUUUGAUCAGUUAGUGAUUCAUUCCCUGGGAUGGUGGAUGGAAGGAAAAAAAAUGGUGGUGUUUAAGUACUCCCUAAUUGAGAACACUUUAGUGGAAGAAUGGAGAACAACUAAUCGCACAAUUGACACACCUUCAGCACCGGAACACUAUGUCGCAAUGCUUCAUAGNNNNNNNNNNNNNNNNNNNNNNNNNNNNNNNNNNNNNNNNNNNNNNNNNNNNNNNNNNNNNNNNNNNNNNNNNNNNNNNNNNNNNNNNNNNNNNNNNNNNNNNNNNNNNNNNNNNNNNNNNNNNNNNNNNNNNNNNNNNNNNNNNNNNNNNNNNNNNNNNNNNNNNNNNNNNNNNNNNNNNNNNNNNNNNNNNNNNNNNNNNNNNNNNNNNNNNNNNNNNNNNNNNNNNNNNNNNNNNNNNNNNNNNNNNNNNNNNNNNNNNNNNNNNNNNNNNNNNNNNNNNNNNNNNNNNNNNNNNNNNNNNNNNNNNNNNNNNNNNNNNNNNNNNNNNNNNNNNNNNNNNNNNNNNNNNNNNNNNNNNNNNNNNNNNNNNNNNNNNNNNNNNNNNNNNNNNNNNNNNNNNNNNNNNNNNNNNNNNNNNNNNNNNNNNNNNNNNNNNNNNNNNNNNNNNNNNNNNNNNNNNNNNNNNNNNNNNNNNNNNNNNNNNNNNNNNNNNNNNNNNNNNNNNNNNNNNNNNNNNNNNNNNNNNNNNNNNNNNNNNNNNNNNNNNNNNNNNNNNNNNNNNNNNNNNNNNNNNNNNNNNNNNNNNNNNNNNNNNNNNNNNNNNNNNNNNNNNNNNNNNNNNNNNNNNNNNNNNNNNNNNNNNNNNNNNNNNNNNNNNNNNNNNNNNNNNNNNNNNNNNNNNNNNNNNNNNNNNNNNNNNNNNNNNNNNNNNNNNNUAAGCAGGGUACUAAACCUACUGCAGGAGUAUGGAUAGCGUUGUUGAAUGCUUGCAGUCUCAGUCAAGAUUUUGAAAGAGGCGAGUUUGCCGCAAAGCAUCUUUUGUUGUUGGAUCCCGACAAAGCUAGCAAUAUUGUGCUUGUAUCAAACUUUUAUGCAGCCAUUGGUAGGUGGGAUUGUGUUGAUGAACUGAGAAGCAUAAUGAGGACAAAAGGGUUGGUCAAGGAAGCUGGGAAUAGCUGGAUCGGCGAGGGCUUCAAUGGACAUGCCAGGUCACUAUCUACUUGAUUGUUCAGCUAUACACCUGGAAAGUGAGAGCCUCACUCCUGUUGGGGUGAUUUGAUUUCUAGUAGAGUCAACCUGGAACUGGUUACAUGAAGAAAAGGAAGCAAGUCAACUGGUAAACGUCUGCUUCCCCAUUCCUAUAAAAUUUCUCUCUCAUUUUAUGUUUCACAUUUUAUGUAUCUCUUGAGUUUCGGUAGCAUAUUUUUGGUAUAUAUGGGCUAAGUCAAAUGAAUUUUCCGUAGGAAGAGAUUUUCUCAUGAUGGAUUUUGCUUAUGUUUUUGCUUAUGUACCUCUUUACCAACUCAGCCAUACAAGCAUCCUUGUUAUAUGAACUCAAGCACUAAUACAUAACAUGAAAAUGAACCAAACUCUUAAAUAAAGCACAGUUGAAAAACAGUAGCAGAGCUCAAACAAGUUCAUCUUAACGCACAGAAAUACUGCUUCUUUCCAUUUUCAAUAUCAAAGAUUUAACAGCAAGAUGUUAUCACAAACAAAUAGGCGGCGGUAUUACUCAAUGAAAUCAAAUCGGAACAACAACCACGGUUACUUCAGAAGAAUGCAAAGCAGAAUCGAAACAUAGAAAUAAAGCUCGGAAAGGAAGCUAACCGGUUGCGGCGAGCUCGACCGAUGAAUGCAGACAAGCGUUGCCUUCAAUUCUCUCCUUCUCUUUUCUGAAUGGUAGCCGCCAAUCCUCUCCAAAAACUAGGGUUUUUCAGCUCUUCCCCAAAAUGAACAGUGGCAUCUCUUUUAUAGUCAUAUUGCAAGAGUCUUUUGAAUUGGCCUCUGAGACCAAAGGGGUGUCGAACUUGGAAGUGCUUUUGGUGCUGCCAGUUUGUCUACCCUGUUUUGGUGCUUACUCUGAAAAAGGUAACUUGUACCUUGUACCUUCUCCUGGAAAU